UUUUUUUUUAUGUUUGAGCUCACAAUUUUNCAUUUAUGUGUAAGUAGUAUACACAUAGAUAUUGAAGUGUUGGAAUAGAAAUGCUAACUUGGAAAAUAUAAGAAUAUGACACCAAUGUAAUCUCUUUUAUUCUUAUGUAAAUGAAAGUUACACAUGCUCGAAAGUCUAAAUUGACUUUUCGACAGGUCGACGACGCGCUAAUUACGGUAGAGGCAGUUCUAGUUCUAUUUACACUGAGACGCGCAAGAUUGUUCUUGACACAGUUCGAGACGUGGAUUCUAGUUGUUGACACCACUACAGGUGGGUGGUGCUAUCCGAAGUCUUUGAAUCACCUUUUAUGUCUAUGAUUAUUCAUUGAGCAUAUUUAUAUUUGUAGUCAUGCAUUAUAGGGUGUUUGGCAUAGUGCGAGUGAAAAUGUGAAUUACUAUCAACAGUAAGAACUUGUGAACCUUAGAAUGUGGACAUAGAACCUUAUGAAUGCAUGGACUAUAACAAUAGUGAACUUGGUGACAUUCUAACUAGAGAUUUGGUUAGCAUCGAGCAAUAAAAUUGUGAAACUAGCAUAAAGAUCUAGUUAGAGUUAAAUUGUGGCAUGACCAGUUAUUGAAUCCUCUAAAGGAGGAUUGGAUCUUACUCACAUAGUCUGUUUUUAGCUUGGUGGAGGUCGCUCCUUCCAGGCAGUGAGCUCCGGAGUUGUCACAUGUUGGGCUAACGUAUUUGCCCAGGACUAACGUACUUGUCCGACAGACGAUCCCGUCGAGAGGUAGCUUAGGGCCCGUAAGGGAUUUGGUUGGUGAGUUGUUGUUAACCAAAGGGUUAACCAGUGAAUUGGGUAAAUUCAGUGAAAGCAUGCAUGUAUAUUUAGGAUUUCAUAUACAUCGUUUCUUUCAGCUUGUACAGGCAUUGUAGUAGUUACAUAUUAUAGUUGGUUACUAUCUCAGUUUACUUUUAUUGCCUACAUAUGCCUGAGUAGACUUAGUGGGUGAGUCGGCGAGGUCGACGGCGGAACCCACUGGGAACUUUCUUGUAGUUCUCACACCACUAANUUUUUUUAACUAUAGAAUGGUACAGUAAAGCUACCCUAAAAAAUCAUGUAGGACAAAGUAGAGGAUACCAUUUUUCUUUUAAGUAAAUUACAUUUUUGGUCUCCAAACUAUAUAUAAGACAAGUCACACAUUGGUCUAUAUGGUCAACUAAAUUAAAAUGAGUAAUUUGAUUUCAAUAAUUUAAAAAAUUUGAACCGACGAAUAUAGAAAAACUAAGAUUUGAGAUGAAAAGUUGUAGCUACGAUGUUUGAGGGCCGAAAGUGCAAAUUUGUUCGUAAUGAGCUGGAAUAUUUUUAGAAGUAUUAAAUUUUUAACAAAAUUUUAAAAAUCGAAUCGAAUAGCAACUUGAAAAUGUUACUGAGUCAAAAGUCACUUGUUCAAUCACUAACUGGUUGAACUAAUGAUGUAAGAAUGACAAAACAAAUAUUNAAGAACAUGUAAAUAACUAAAUAUUCUAGUUAUGUAAUUCAGUUUAAAGUUUUAAAUUACAGUGAAAUUUCAUGUUUAGCUAGCUUUACUAUCACUUGUGUUUGUUGCUUGCCAUUGUGCAAGCCAUGUAUACUGAAAUAUGAUCCUGAGAAUUGUUUAAUUUUUUUAUACAUGUAUCCGUUGUUGUUGAGCCUUGGGCGAACAGAGGAGGUGCUGUUCGUUCGGCGUCUGUGUACGGGCCCGGAUCGACCAAAUUGGCGAUAGCGGGACGUAACAAUUAAUCCAUCAGCUGAAGAAUACUUAAAGCCUUUAGUAUCAAGUGUACCCAAUGAGAUCAGAUUUUUUCUCAUAUCCGGAACAUGCCGAACCUCAGAUAUAGUCCUUACNUUUUUACCGUUAAAUCUACUCCUCGGAUCAUUUUCAACUAUUAGAUUAUACUAUUCAACCAACCACCCACUCAACCCUAGGGAGCCCACAUCAUCCUAACCGCAUAUCUCUUAAUCCAAUGACUAAAAAUCUACAAGCACCGAUAACUUGGUACUUUUAAAAGCAUAGGAGCUCAAUUUUAUAUAUAUAUAUAUAUGUAUAUAUAUAUAUAUAUAUGUAUAUAUAUAAUUAUUUUAAUUUCAUAUUUAAUUAUAAAAUAAUAAUUUUUUAGGUUAAAUUAAGUAGAUAUAAGUUUUCUAAAUUUUAGUUUGUAUAAGUUUAAUCUCUUCUAACAGAAAAUAAAAUUAUUUGAUUUUAAGCCGUCAAUAAAAUUUUAAUAUAACAUGAUAAAAAAAAAUUCAGCCUUGAUUAAGAUCAGACGGAUUCACUGAGUCAAACUGCCGAUUCAAAUAGUUUAAAACACCUUUUUAACUUAUCCAGUUCAAAUCGUUGAACCUGAUUACUUUAUAGAUAGAUUAGGUCACCAUUUAAUAUACCAAUUUGGCCUGACUUUUAUCUAUAACUCUCUAUUAAUCCGCAAUGCUUAUGAGGUGACGUUGGCAUAACCUCAAUCAUGUAAUUUAGUGAUUGGAGAAGACCUCAUAUUGUAGCGUCGAUCCACGCUCGCCAAAACAAAGUAUAUAAAACUGAGGACUCGGUACUCCUUCCAAAAGCACGAGGAGGGCAAAAGUUAGCCUCUAGGGUUUUAAAUAUUGGGAAUUUUGGCAAGGAAAAAAAAAAAAAAAAAAAAAAAACUUAACUUUUUUUUUUUUUUCUCAUAAAGUUAACAUGUCUUUUCAAAUUACAAAAUUUUUUCUCAUUAAAUUCUUCCUAAUUAAUUUUCAAUUUAAUUUAAUGCUGCACCUUAUUUAUAACUCUUAUUUAUGAGACCUCUCAUCUUCUUAAAAUUAUUGCACCUUAUCUAUGGUUUAUGAUUGAAUCUCAGAGGCAUUCUUAUCAUUUGGUAGAUCCAAGUCCAUGGCUUAUUUCGGAUUCACUCGGAGCUUUGGCAACCACUGUAGGAGGUGUAAUGUAUUUAUUCUCUACUUUUAAUUCAGUUGUUAAUUAGUAAUUAGUAAGACAAUUGUUAUUUUUUCCUUUUGAUUUUUCUUCUCUACUAAUUUUAUGUUAUGAGUUUAAUUAUAAAAUAUUUAUUUUAACUUUUGAAUUAUUUUUCUCUAAUUUAUUAUUGAUUUUUUUUAGGUUAAUUCCUAACGAAGCUAUCAUGAGGAUAAAAACAAAUAUAAGUGCAUAAAAAAAAAUCUAUGUUUAUACUAUAUUCUUUAGUGCAUGUUAUAUUAUAUUUUUUCAAAGCAAUUUUACAAAGUAAAAAUAAAAAAUACUUAAAAGAAUUCUAAAAUUCAAUAAAAAAGUGAAAAACACUGUAAAAAUAGAGUUAAAGAAGUCCAAAUUAUUAGAGUUCCUAAAAAAAUAAGUUCAAGAAAUACCCCUCUAUUUUGUAACAAGUUUUUUAUAAAUAUGUUCAUUUGUAAAUUUUCUUCCAUAUAAAUUAUUGAUUUUUACAACUAAAAUUUAUUAGAUAAAAAAAAACAAUAACUUUGAAUAGGUUUUUGAUAAUCAAAAUUUUAAUUACAUACUUAUUGUAUUUAUAAGGAUAAUUUAAGUAGAAAGCUAUCAUAACCUUUUAAAAUAUUUAAUAAAAAUUUAAUUUAGAGAUAAUUAUUUUGUAUGUCUCUCUAAAAUUUUAAUUAUUUUAUUUGGCUCUCUUAAAAUUUAUAAAAUUGUCAUUCUUUAUGAGUUGAGAUAUUAAUAUUAAUUUUUUCACUAUAUAUGAAUCUCUCUUCAUCUCCUCUUCUUUUUUGUUUUCGGAUUGGUAAGUGAUAAAAAAAAAAAAAUUUAUUUUUGCAUUGGUAAAUGAUAAUUUCUUUUAUGCACAUCUUAUAGUUUAAUUUUUUUAAAAAAAUUUUAUCCGCCGCAUCGCGCGGAAGUCUACGCUAGUAUAUAUAUAUAUUUGAAAAAAAAAGAAGAGAAUUGAGUAGCUUUUCGGUCUAAUGGACUAAAACAAUUUUGGCCCAUUGGACCAAAACCACUCCUAGGCAGACGUUGGAAGGAGAUCUCCUGGGAGGAGGGCAGCCUUCUUGUCUCCCUCCCCCGGAGAUCAGACCCCAGGCCUGGGGUUCCGGGCCAUGCUGGCCGGUUAAUACGGCCCAAGCAGACCGUGCCGGGCCACCGGCCUUUUCUCGGCACAGCACAGUCGAAAUCCAUUUCGGGUCGUGUCGUGCACCCUUAGGGAGAGGUGAUUGAUCAUCAUUGGUGAUACUUUUGUUUUACACUGCUCCUUACAUUUAUUAACUAGGGUCAAUUGCUUAUAUACUUUUUAAAAUUUCUCAACUGUCUGAUUUACCUUUUCUAGAAAGCUAAUAUUAAAAAUAUUUUUUUAACAUUCCAAAUUAUUUUAAAUAUACCCUAGAGUUAAAUUCUGGCAACCAUCAUUAUUUUUGUAAAAUUAUUAUUUUGCCCUUUCAAAUAUACUCUUCUGCAGUUCUACUAUCACCAACUUUUCUUAUUUGCCCUUAAGUUGUAGGCAAAAAAAGUAUUUUAAUUUUUUGUAUUUUCAAAUAUACUCUUCUACAAUCACCAACUUUUUAAGGGUAAAAGAGAUAUUUUGAUUUCUUUGGUCCAUUUGCAUAAAAAUUCAUAAGUUUUCAGCUUUUGCAAAUAAUUUUGCAUAUUCAAGCCAAAUUUUCAACAAACUAAUCAAAAUACCCUUAUUUCCUUCUCUCUCUUCUUUUUUUUUUUUUUUUUUUUCNUGCUUGGCUUAAUUAGAACGUGGCAUCUUAAUUUGGUCGCGGCGUCAUUAACUUGGCUGUAGCAUGUAUAUAUAAUACAUGUCUCCUAAUUAGAGUCUAAUUCUAAUUCAAUUAGAAUUAUACUCCUAAUUAUAAUCCAUAUAUGCCAAAUUAAAUCUAAAUUAUAUAUAAUCCUAAUUAGAUUAGUAUUUAACUCCAAUUUAGAUAACUACAAAUCUAAACCAAAUAUAACAUAUUAUUCGGUAUAGGAUGGGAGUGGAAAAAAAAAAUUGUUGAAAGUGUAAACGGCAAAUCAUUCAUGGCUAUCUAGAGAAUUCCAUCAAUUUUCUAUACAGAUGUGAGAACUUAGAUUUUUUUUCUGUAUAAAUUAUAUCUUUUUAAAUAUUAUCAUGUGUAUUUUACAUUUAAAACUGUCCGUUAAAUCUCAGCAAAAAAUAAUUUAAAAUAAGAGUUUUAUAUGCUUAUUACUUUUCACUUAAAGUGAAUAGUAACUCAUAUUUUUGGAAGAGGCCAUUAAGUGUAGAGGGCUUCUGUUGCGUAUCGGAUUUUAUUUCGGGUGAUCCAAUAGCUCGUUUUCGAUGGCUCGACUGUGCUGGAGCAAUGGCACCGGCGGAUUUUACAGCCGAUGUACGGUUUUCGAGAUAUAUGGCUUUUAUCGCAGAUAGGGCAAUUUAUACACGGUGUUUUUAUUUUUUAAACACAAUGGCACUUUGUUUUGCGAGAAAACCUUCGGGCAGAGACUUUUCUACUAGAGAACAUUAUUGGAGAGGGAUUUGGGACCGCAAAAUUCAUGAUUUGGGGAUUUUGGGGUGGUUUGUCAAGUUUUAAUACAUACUAGUGAAGGCCCGCGCUACGCGACGGAAAAUUUAUGUAAAAUGAUGAAUCUGUUAAAUGGCAUGCCAGAUUAUGCCAUAUAGGUCAAAGAAUGAAUAGACUGGUUCGAGAAGGCCUUUUGGGGUCUCUCGCCAAAGUUGACCUAUCUGUGUGCGAGCCUUGUCUGGCUGGGAAGGCAUGUAGAAAGCCUUUCGGUAAGACUACUCGUGCCUCUCAUUCUUUAGAGCUAAUCCAUUCAGACAUUUGUGGGCCAAUGAAUGUGAGGGCCCGACAUGGUGCUUGCUAUUUUCUCACAUUCAUUGAUGAUUAUUCCCGUUAUGGAUAUGUGUAUUUGCUUUCUCGCCGAUCUGAAGCUUUAGAUUGCUUCAAGCGCUUUGUUGCGAAGGCUGAGAAUCAAAUAGAAAGAAGUGUAAAGGUGCUUCGCACUGACUGAGGUCGUGAGUACUUGUCUGAUCAGUUCAAGACUUACUGUGAGCAAAAGGGCAUUAAUAGAUAGCUCACUAUUCCUGAUACUUCGCAACAAAAUGGUGUUGCAGAGCGAAGGAAUCGUACUCUAUUAGACAUNCAUUGGUAAAUGAUAAUUUCUUUUAUGCACAUCUUAUAGUUUAAUUUUUUUAAAAAAAUUUUAUCCGCCGCAUCGCGCGGAAGUCUACGCUAGUAAAUCAUUAGUCCUCGAUGCUUAUUAUGAGUUUUUCACCCCUGGAUCAUGUAAUUUAGUGAUUGGAGAGGACCUCUAUUGUGCGUGAUCCAGCUGCCAAAACAAAUUAAUAGGACUGAGGACUCGGUACUGCUUCCAAAAGCACGAGGAGGGCUGAAUUUAGCCUCUAGUGUUUUAAAUAUUGGGCAUUUUGGGAAGGAAAAAAGAAAAAAAGAAAAAAAAAAGAAAAAAAGAAGAAAAAAAGAAGAAAGAAACAUUAAAGCAGUAGUUGUAGUACUAGGAGUAGUAGUUAGUACCUGGCCUUGAUGUGCUUGAGGCGGUCGGUGGCGAGGGCGAGGGUGAGCUUGUGGCAGCGGCGCUGGUAGCGGAAGCCGUUGAUGCAGCGGAGGUGGUGCGCCACCGCCGCGUAGACGGCGGCGUGCCCCAGCGUCAGCAGCCCCACCGGCGCCCACACGUGCCGGCACGCCAUCCGCCCCCCACCCCCACCCCCACCCCCACCCCAGCUGACGGACGCCACCGCCAGGAAGACGAAGAAGCCCACGAGCAGCCGCCACAGCUCCUGCUUCUGCGCGUCCACCGCCCGCUUCUUCUCCAGCGUCUUCUCGAAGUGCAGCUGGAUUAUCCCGUUCAGCGACUGCACCGCCGCCUCCCAGCUCAGCACCAUCCCCCCCGCCGCCGCCGCCGCCGACUCUUCUCCUCCGCCGCAUCCGUACGCCCGCGCCCCCGCCCCCGCCUCCGCCAUGGAUCCCGGCGACGCGACCUCCUCCCCCCCUCUCUCUCUCUCUCUCUCUCUCUCUCUCUCUAGGGAUUAUUGGCUAUUUGUUUGGAUGUGGGAAAGGGGAGAGGGGAUUAAAUGCGCUUCGGGAUUCGAGCGAGAGCGGAGGGGGAGGUGGUGGCCGUGGCGUCAGGCGUGGUGGGGACUCUUUUUACGAUUCCAAAUUUGAAUAUUUACGAGGGUAACAUUGUACACAUGGGUUCAAAUUUUUUUCAUAAAUAAUUCUAUCAAUUUUUAUAAUUAUAAAAAAAAAAUUUAUAAAAAUUAAUUAUAAAAAUAAGUCUCUAUUAUGUUAAAAUCGAAACGGCGAAAAAUAGAUCCAGAAAAAUAACUUAAUGCAAGAAAAAAAAAAAUAAGAAAAGAACACACCGAUAUUUACGUGGUUCGGCCAACGGCCUACGUCCACGGGCGAAGACGGAGCAAAUACUUUAUUAAUGUCAAAAAGGCGGAAUACAAGAAAAUCUCUUAAAGACCAAAACUUCAUUAGAUCCGAAACGCCGCAACAAGAAACUCCAANUAUGUGAUGUAUGGUGAACACCCAGAUGGUGGUAUGACCGAGAUUGAGUCUCGUGAUGUGGAAUUCCUAGAAGGGGAUUUUCCAAGCAUUGGUGAAAUGCGAAGAGACGUCGGAUUGUAUGAAUUACAGGACGACGCUACCCUAUCUGCGGUUGAGGGUGAUCAAUCACUUCCCGAAGUCGCUGAAGGAAGUGGUAGCGAUCCUCCGGCUACUGGGAGUGCUUCUUUGAGUGAGAGCAUACCCUUGGAAGUCGGCAGAUUAGACCCUCCAUUACGCAGAAGUGAACGUGGACAUAUUCCCCGUCGACAUUUUGAGAUCGAAGGGGAUAUUUUCAUGUGCACUCCGCUCGAUGAUGAUGAACCUGCUUCUUAUAAAGAAGUAUUGCAGACGUCAGCUUGCAGUGAGUGGAUGGCUGCUAUGAAAGAUGAGAUGGACUCCAUGAGCAAGAACCAAGUAUGGGAAUUGGUUAACCUUCCGCCUGGGCGCAAGUCUAUUGGAAAUAAAUGGGUUUUAAAAAUUAAGCGCAAUGCGGAUGGAUCAAUCGAUAAAUACAAGGCUCGGCUCGUGGCUAAGGGCUACACUCAGAGGCAAGGGGUAGAUUACAACGAGACGUUUGCUCCCGUUGUGUGAUUUGCCUCUAUUCGUUUGAUUCUAGCCUUAGUGGCACAUCUAGAUUUGGAAUUGUUCCAAAUGGAUGUCAAGACAGCUUUUCUCAAUGGAGAAUUGGCGGAGGAGAUCUAUAUGGAUCAACCUGAGGGUUUUGUACUCAAAGGUCAAGAAGACAAAGUUUGUCGUCUUAAAAGAUCCAUUUACGGUCUUAAGCAGUCGUCGAGACAGUGGUAUUUCAGGUUUCAUGAAGCCAUCACCUCUAUCGGUAUGUCCAUGAUAGAGGAGGACCACUAUAUAUAUGUCAAGAAGACAGAGAACGGAAUUUUAUUUCUCUCUCUAUACGUCGACGAUAUACUAUUGGCUGGAAAUGACAUGGAGUUAAUCAAUACCACUAAGGAGUGGUUGUCUCUCAAUUUUGAAAUGAAAGACAUGGGUGAGGCGAACUAUGUGCUUGGAGUGAAGGUCAUCCGUGAUCGCUCUAGAAAGCUUCUUGAUUUGUCUCAAGAAACUUAUAUUAAAAAGAUUCUAGAGCGUUUUAGGAUGCAUCAUUGCAAACCCGUUGACACUCCAGUGGAAAAGAAUCACACUCCGAGUCUUGAUAAGUGCCCUAAAACGGAUAAAGAAAAGGAGCAAAUAAGGGUUCCUUAUGCAAGUGCAAUUGGCAGUUUGUUGUACGUUAUGAUGUGUACUCGACCUGACAUUUGCUUUGCUGUUAGCUUGGUAAGUCGUUACCAGAGCAACCCCUAUUCAUUGGCAAGCGGUCAAGAGAAUCCUUCGAUAUUUAAAAGAAUCAGUGAUCUCGUUCUCUGUUUUCAAGGUGGGGACUUGAGAUUGAAAGGAUAUAGUGAUGCUGAUUGGGGCGGUGAUAGAGAUGAGUGCAGGUCCACUUCAGGCUAUGUGUUUAUACUUGGAGGUGGUGCAAUUUCCUGGUGCAGUAAGAAGCAGAGCUGUAUUGCCUUGUCAACCAUGGAAGCGGAGUACGUUGCUUGUUCAGCGGCCGUUCAGGAGGCUGUUUGGCUGAGGAGAUUUCUCCAACACCUCGACAUCGUGACUCGAGCAAAUGAACCUGUUGAGAUGUUCUUUGAUAACAUGGCUGCCCUGGAGUAUGUGAAAGAUCCAAAGUAUCAUGGCAGGACCAAGCAUAUUAAUAUCCGUUUUCACUACAUUCGAGAGAUGAUCAGGCUAGGCGAGGUCAUUCUUAGACACAUCUCCACCACUAGGAUGGUGGCUGAUCCGUUGACCAAGCCGAUAGCUAGGGAUAUGUUCCAGACCCAUGUUAGGAGUUUGGGUCUUCGUAGGUUUUGAUAUGGACAUUAUUUUGUAUCUUACGCUUUAUUAAUGAAAAUAUAUUUUUCUCCUUUUAAUGAGAUAGCGUAAUUGAUAUUAGUAGGCACAUAUUCGUUAAGUCACCAGGCUCAGAUCAGCCCACUCACACGGGUGAUCGCCCUAGCACCUAAGUGGUGAGCAGGAUGAGACUAGAUAAUCAUAUUAAACUUGAGUAGUUGUAAUAUGAUUAUUUUGUUCAUAUAUGUUAUGAAUGAAGUGUUGAUAUAAUUUAAAGUCGCCUUAAUUAGUUUAAGAUGAGACUCUAAAGAGUCGGAUAUGAAAGUUUUAGUGAAAUAUCAUAUUGAGCCUGUAUAGUAGCCGAACUUAAAUGCUCAGGUUAGAGAGAUAACUUGAGUUGUGGUGGUUAGAUACCUUAGUGGUACCUAGACCAAGGUUCGUAUGGCGUUUUUUAGAGCGUGACAUGACCGGAGCUCCGCCAUAGCAUACAUAUCAUACUGUAUGUGCAUGUCGACUAGUUAGUAGAGUGACAUAAGUUUUUCCCUCCAUGUCACUGUGUGAGCACUAAUCUUUUUUGUGCCCUCGACUUAGAACUACGUUAUGAAGUGGAGGUCCAAAGUAACUAACUUAGCAUGUAUCUCAUGGUCAUGAGAAAAUACGAUCUCGUGGAGCAUGUCUAGUAAAGUGCUUGGACCAAUACAGAUUAACGUGAGGGGGUGAGGAAGAUGUUUCGAUAACACACCACUUAAGUCUUGUAACUCAUUGCCCGAGCGGUUAUCUCGGUUAUGUUACUUGAGAUAAUCAUGAGUACGAAAAAUAACGGUGGGGUCGAGCCCUGUUAUUAUAGGAGAGGGACUUUGUGAUGCUUGAUCCGGUGUGUGUUGAAACAUCUAGGGCAUAGACGAAUUAAGUCAGUGAUGUGCUAUGUUAGUUGGAUGGUGACUUAAUAUAGCACUCCUGCAUGUGUUUCUUUUCGUCAGGUCGCACGCUCCAUUACCCGUACGAAGAGAUGAAUGAAUAAGAGAGAAUUGGCCAAUGUGGCCAAGUGGGAGAUUGUAGCCAUGUGGUGUGUCCACAUUGGCGGGUUUUAAUUUAACCCGAUCCACUUAAGAUGUGGAUUGUGAUUUAUUCUAAUGGGUUUAGGAUAAGAAUAAAUUAUAUGUUUAUUGUCAGUUAAGAAACGUAUCUAUUAGUGGAUAUCUAUUACAUGUUAAUAGAUUUUCUAAUUCUUAUCCUAAUCUAUAUGAGAUUUAGGAUAUUUAGGGGUUCUGUUAUUCUAUAAAUACGUCCCCUUGUUUUCUCCCAUGAGGACGAUUGAAUACGAUCAAAUUCGUAAGAACCCACGAAAUAUCUUCCUUAUUCUCUCUCUUCUUCCUCUCUGGGAUUUCCACCUAUGUUUCCGGGGUUUUGGAGUGUGGACAUAGAAGAGGACUCUGGUAGCCCUCUUCGAUCGGCAUCCGUCGCAUCAGAUCCGCAUCCGAUCCGUGGCAUAAGGCGUACGCGAAGGAGAAGGCGAGAAACGUGGGAGAUCCAGAAGCAUCGAGACAAGGAUGAUUCAAGAAGGCUUGUAAAACAAGUAAUCCGAUCCGAUUUGGGUUCCCGGAUACGUUGGCUAUCCGAUUUGUAAGUUUCCGCUGCUCUAUUAUUUCCAACAAUUCGGUUCAAGUAAAAAAAAGAAAAGAAAUCAUGUUCGUUUCAAGCAGAAAAAAGAAAAAUUCGGUUUAGUUCAAAUAAAAAAAGAGAAAAAUAUGCGGGAUCUUGAAUCGGUUCUGGAUGGAGCCUAUACUCAACAAUGAAGAAAACAUUCCUAUAUAAAAAAUUUAGAAAGAAUAAUGCAUAGAUAUAAAUUUAGAUAUAAAUAUAGAUAGUUCAAUUACAAUCCUUCAUAUUAUAGUGCCAACACGUCAAAUUAAUAACCUAGUGGAGGACACGGGGAGAUCAAAGCAUUUCUCUUUUUAUUUAUUGAUUUUGUGAUUAAAUACUGUUAGUUGAUGUUAAAAAUUUAACACAAACUGCUAUUAGUCUUACAUUAAAAUUUUGAUUUUUUAAAUAAUAAAUUCACAUAAACAUUUUGAACUCUUAGAUUUGAUCCAACAAAUAACAAAUAAAGUAUCUGUUAUUUUUAGGGAAAACUUCAAAAAAAACACCUGUGAUUUCGCAUUUUUUCAUUUUAGUACCCUAUGGUUUAAAGUAUAUCAAGUUAGUACCCUGUGGUUUCGCACUUUCUCACUUUAGUACCCUAUGGUUUAAAGUGUAUCAAGUUAAUACUCUGUGAUUUUAUUUUUUUAUCAAGUUAGUACCAUAUGGUUUUAUUUUUGUAUCAAGUUAGUACCAUGUGGUUUUAUUUUUCUCUUAAUGAAAUAUUAAACCGUGAGAAAGUGUAAAACCACAUGGUACUAACUUGAUACACUUUAAACCACAGGGUACUAAAGUGAGAAAGUGCGAAACCACGAGGGGGGUAUUUGAAGUUUUCCCUUAUUUUUAUGAUAAAUUACUAUUUCUAGAAAUUUGGCAUUAUCUAUUUUUUUUAUCCAAUUUUAAAAUUAUAUAAAGAUGAUCUAAACUUUGGGUCAUUUGAAAUAUCCAAUAAUUUUUAAAAAUUUCUGUAACACCCUAACUUUCCGGGAUGCCAUCCAUUUUUGGAAUAUUUCCGUCCUAACAUGCUUAACUCUCUUAACUUCUUGGCCUAUCCACAGUCCAAAAUACUUAAACUGGGUUAAGAGUUUUAACCCUAUUAUAUCUUAUAUAUAGAAUUACCUGGGAGUCUCACAUUCUUUCUCCCUUAAGUCCUGACGUUCUCGUUACUCGUCAGGAUCAAACACAUAAGUAUCAGGCGAUGUGAGACUCGUCUCGUUAGUUUAAAUUGACCUCAUGGUGAGUUACGCACCACGCACAACAGUCAACAGCGUAAAAGUCUCGCUUUCUCCGCUGUAUAAUCUUGGCUUAGCUGAGACUUAUCUCACAUUUUCGAUUGAUAAUUAGCUCUGAUACCAAUUGUGACGUCUGACUUCCGAAGAGGUCAUUAUUUUAAUUUUACUACUUGACCUUUCAAGGUUUGCCUUCUUAAUAGAAAACCAAUAAAUUCGGAGAUAAGCCAUUUAAUGCAUCUCGUGUUAUUAAUUUUAUCGCUCAAUUUUAAACUUAAUAAUAGAGAUUGGACAACCAGAUAAAAUGAAUGUCUAAUAAAAGAAUCACAAAUUUAUAAAGUUAUUUCUUGUUGAAGCUGGUUGUGAGCUAGUACAUAUCAAUGUUUUAAAACCCGGGUUGACUGGGCCGGUCGGAUCAUAACCCAGCUCGGACCGGUUCAGUUCAACCCGUAAAAUCGAACUUGGUUAAAAUGUAUUUUGACCAUAGUUAGUUAAUUCGGAUUGGGCAAAAAUUCGGUACGGAUAUAAUGCGCAUAAAAUUUAUUUUCUAAUUUUUAAAUUCGUUGAAAAAUUCGGCUUAAAAAAUAAAUUCGGUAUAAAAUAUAAAAUAUAGAAUAUAAAAUAUAAUAUAAUCUAUAUUUAAAUAUAAAAAUUAUAUGUUUUUUAUUCAUAUUUUCAAUAAUUCGAAAAUAAUUCGGGAAUAAUUCGCGAAUUAUUCGGCUGGCCCAAAAAUUCGCGAAUAAUUUUCUAUCUUUGGAAAAAAUUCAUAAACGGACCGUUUAAUUCGGAUUUUCAAUAAUUCGCGAAUAAUUCACGAAUAGUUCGCGAAUUAACUAACAUAGAUUUUGACUUGCUCCAACCAAUGGUCCAAUCAACAAAUUGUUGAACCGGCUAGAUUCUACAAGAAUUGGUCAUGGUCAUAGUUUUUUAUUUUAUAUUUCGAUAAUUAAUUAAAAAAUGCUUAAUUAUUUUAAUAAUUUACACUUAAAAUACAUUUUUAACUAUAUAUAUAACAUAAUAAUAUAUAACAAUUAUACAUAGCACUAUGCUUAGUUUAUAUUUUUUUUUAAAUAUUUAUAUCAUUAUGUUUACGUUAUUCUACACGUACGAUAGUUCAACUAUUGGUUGAACUGGAGAUCAAUGAUCCAAUAGACAUUGGUACAGAUAACAAAUAUUAAAGACACGAGUUGAUAUUUAGUUUAUUGCUUAGGUUAGGGAACUCAUACUUAUAUCUUUCCUUUCUUAUUUUGAUUCGCUUUGGGUCCGUUAUUAAUUGUCCUUAUUGUUUUCUCUCAAAUAGUUUUGAGAUUAAUUUUCUACUUUCUCUUUUAUUAUAUUUGGUUGGCCGAAAAUGAACACCGAAAGUAUUAUUUUUAAAAAGUGACGUUUUAUAAGCUAUUUUGUUUGUGAAAGUAGAUAUAAAAGUUUUUUUUUUUGAAAAAAGAAGAUACAAAAGUCACAAUACAAAAAUUGGGCUAAGAAAGUGAGUUAUGACUAAAUAUUUAUUUAUUUAUUUAUUUUCUUACUUCGGCCUAAAAAUUUCAAAAUAAUCAAAAGCAGAAAUCUUAUUUUGAUUCGCUUUGGGUCCGUUAUUAAUUGUCCUUAUUGUUUUCUCUCAAAUAGUUUUGAGAUUAAUUUUCUACUUUCUCUUUUAUUAUAUUUGGUUGGCCGAAAAUGAACACCGAAAGUAUUAUUUUUAAAAAGUGACGUUUUAUAAGCUAUUUUGUUUGUGAAAGUAGAUAUAAAAGUUUUUUUUUUUGAAAAAAGAAGAUACAAAAGUCACAAUACAAAAAUUGGGCUAAGAAAGUGAGUUAUGACUAAAUAUUUAUUUAUUUAUUUAUUUUCUUACUUCGGCCUAAAAAUUUCAAAAUAAUCAAAAGCAGAAAGCUUAUCUAAAUAGUGAUAUUUGGUCCAAAUUUUAAUCUUUGAAUUUAUUUUUAGAGUUGAAUUUCAACUUAAUUUCAAUUAAAGUUAUGAAUUUGAUUUCAUAUUUUGAAUUUUAUUUUUAAUUUCAAAUUUAAAAGAAAAUGUUUAAAUUCAAAUUUGCAAAUUUAUAUUUAAAUUUCAAACUUAAAUUUAAAUUUGGAUUGUAAUUUAAAAUUUUAGUGUCACGUCCCGGAUUACUUGUUUCCCGGGCUCGCUAACAGACCAGCCGUAUACAUAGGUAAUUCCCCUGUAUACGAAGCGAAAAAGUAGAAGUACCUGUAAUCAUACAAUACUACAAAUAGUAGUAUAGAGUAGAUAGGAAAAAUAAACCAUAUAUAUAUAUAUAUAUAUAUAUAUAUAUAUAUAUAUAUAUAUAUAUAUAUAUAUAUAUAGUCUGUCUAUGGUGCUUGUAAAAGUACAAAGUACUUGGUGCUUGUAAAUAUUUUACCAUUAGAUCUACGCCUUUGAUCAUUUUCACACGUUAUAUUAUAUUAUUCAACCAACUACCCACUCAAUCCUUGGGGACCCACNGAGAUACAACAACUGUAUGUAAAGGCCCAAAAACUACAACUACUUGUAGCUGGUGUUCCUUUAGCUCUGCGACUCGUCUGGAAGGGCUCUAACUCGCAACGCCCUUGCCACGAUCAGUCUCAGUAGAAGCAGCAGCCGGAACAGAAGGCUCUGCCAAAACAGGAUAACAACUGGGCGUGAGAACUACUGCAAAAAAAAGUAGUUCUCAAUGGGUACCGCCCUCGAACUCAUCGGUUCACCGACUAAGUCUACAGGAAUAAGCAGAAAUAGUAAGGAAAGCUGGAAUAAAUCUACAGCUAAAUGCCACUAUAUUAUCAUACUCCAACUCUACUCUCUGUAGAACAAUGUCAUCUUAGACCCAAUCUUAAUAAGGACUGUAAUUAUACCCGUCGCUGGGACUAUGAACACACCUAUCCUGCCCGGUCGCGACUAUACAGCUACCUCCAUACUAACCAGUCCGUGGAGAGUAAGUCCAACCUGCACGAAUGACACCAACGCAAAAGCACAGCGCCCGUCUCUGGAGUGGCACUCGUGGGAGCUACCCAACCGAGUAUGCAGCGUAUCUCUGUCGAGCUCAAACAGGCUCCAACUAGCCAAAGUCAAGUAGUUAGGAUCAAAACAGGUCUAAAAACCAAACUCACGUACCCUCGGCACAAUCUGAGACCAAAAACAGGAAUCUGGGUCCACCGUCCACCCCGACGGCACCCGACAACCCGAAACAGUCUAGUCUCUACUGUAAAAUAAGCUCGGCAUCCAAGCACGAGCGUAAAUGCAUUCUAAACUAUCCCGGGUAUCCACCGCGCUGAAACAGCAGUGAUACGAUCAAAUGACGGCUCCUAGAGCUAAAUCAGGUAGUAGAAUCAUAUGACAGGUUAAAUCACUAGUUUUCUCCUAAGUCAAGAUCCAAGUCCAACAUGUAUAUUCAACUAAUUACUAUUCAUGCUCCAAAUUCAGAUUCAUACAUUAAACCAAUCGAUGAAUUUGAGCUACAACAUGAUAUUUUGAAGUCGAAACUAUACAUGUUUACUAUACAUAUACUUAGGAGCAAAACCGAUGAUAAACCCACCUCUAGAGCAAUUUCUUGGCAGCAAGGAGAUCACUCAGCUGCGGAUCCCCCUUGUCGGAACCCGCCGAACCUGCUCUCAGCCAGCGAUGAUCCACAAUCAAUAUCUGAACAUCAACACCCACUAAAAUCCAUCAAAUUUCACAAUUUCAGCACUUUAAGCUUAAAAAUCACCCAACUUCAACGUCAACACUCACCUAAAGAUCUCCAAAUCAGGUGAGGACAGUCCCACAUCCAGUAAAUAAUGAUGAGGGUGUGUCUCAGGUUCAAAAGUCUACUGCUUCCAAAGUUAGCAUUGAAGAACAUUCAAAAAGCUCAAAAUAAGCCUCAUAGUGACAGCAGUUCAGAAAAAUCUUAAUUCGACCCUACUAACCUCAACAAAAAUCUGCAAAAUUGGACUUUGUGGAUUCCUCUUGAAGUCUAGAAUCCAGCAAACUAAGUUUCACCACAAUCCGACCUUCCUACGUCGCACACGAGCCAAAACAUUGAAGGUCGUCGCUGGAAAACUGCAAAAUCAGCACUCCUCAAGCUGAAUUUUAUGGACUUUGUUGCAAUUUGAGUAGUUUGGAGGGGUUGGAAUGCAAAGUGUAGGAUCACUGUGAAGAAGAGAGGAAAAGAGCUCACCAGGGACGCUGCACAGCUAUUUAUAGGAUGAACAAAUGAUCAGAUGAACCUCAGGAACAAAGGCUGCAAACUUGCACUAUUGCAGAAAACUCAAGAUCUGGGCGCCUUAAACCCAGUUCUGGGCGCCCAGAACUUCCAGUCUGCACAAAUGCUCCCCUUCGAUUCCUCCGCCCGCGGUAUGCUGCGCCCGUAACCAACUCCGGCGGACCUCACCUACCACCAGCCACGUGUCAACACAAUCGGUAUUCACGAUGUGAAUUUUCGGACCCAUUUCUGGGCGCCCGAAACAUAGGAUCCGAAUUGGCUUCCAGUUUCAGUUAAUUUCAGCACUCAGUUCUGGGCGACCUAAACCAAGUUCUGGGCGCCCGAAUCUGGCAAAACUCCAGUUUUGCCUAUUUGAGUGCGCCGAGUCCAUUUCUGCAUCCGUUUCGUGCAGAAACGACUUCGACUCAGUCCGACACUCUCCAGAUAUGUUGACCAGUCACUAAUACUGCAGCCAAUCCUAUCCAAAUCUCAGGAACACUACAUUUAGAUUAAAAUUUUAAGUUUAAAAUUUUAAAUUUAAAUUUUAAUAAAAUUAUUUUUAUCUAGGAAUUUCAAUUUGAACUUUGAAUUCAAAUUGUUCCAAACUAUGAAUUCAAAUUAUACAUUGAAAUUUGAAUUCAAAAUUUAUAUUUUUAAUUUUGAAAUUGAAUUCAAAAUUUAUAUUUUUAAUUUUGAAACUUGAACUUGAAUUUAAGUUUGCAUUUGGAAUUUAAUUUCAGUAAUAAGAUUUAGUUUGAACUUUUAAUUCGAAUUAUAAAUUCAAAUGUUCAAUUUGAAUUAUGAUUUAAACUCACAUUUUAAUUUAAAUUUUAAUUCAAAUUGUGAAUUCAUAUUUGAAUUCAAAAUUUAAGAUCAAAUAGUAAAUCAAAAUUUGAGUCAAAUCAUGAAUUCAAAUUAUGAAUUCAAAUUUGAAUUAAGAUUUAAUCGUUAAGUUGAAAUAUGAUUUUAGAAUUUAAUUUCAAUUAUAAGGUAUAACUUAAAAUUUAAAUUCAAAUUAAAUUUGAUUAUAUGUCUUAAAUUUUAAUUAUAAAUUUUAAUCAGAAUUAGGUUUAAAUUUAAAAUUUAAAAUUUAAUUUUGAAUUCCAAGUGAAUUUAAAUUUAAAUUUAAAUUAUAGUCGUUUGUUUAUAUUUUUACUUUUUUAAUAUAAUCAAAUAAUCAAACAAUCGAAGUCACGAAACCAAAUUUUUUUAUUUUUCACUUUAUACCCAACCAAACAAUCAAAUUCAAAAAUUACUUUCGCAAAAGCCACUUUUAUAAAAAUAACUUUUUUCACUUCAAUCCUGUUUAGGCAACUAAACAUGAGAUUAUAAUUUGUAUUAUACCCCAAAACUAUUUUAUUUGUGCACUUACUAAAUAUAAAUUAAAAAUGUUAUUUUUUGGUAGGUAGUGUAAGCUAUGAGAAAAAAUAAUUAUUUUUUAUAAUUUAAUGUAGUAUAUAUUGGAAUGGAAGGUUAUAACUUUGGGUUUCGAUAUGCUCCUAACUUUAUUUAAUUUUCUUUUAUUUAUUCAAGUAAAUAUCUUAGGUCUUUUAAAAGUGGAGUCCAGAUACAAGAAAGUAUGUUAAAUAAAAAAGAAAAAAAGAUAAAAGAUCACAAAAUAGUACAGUGACUCUUGUGUCCCUAAUACAACCUCUUGUCUGUGAGCGACGUAGCUCUUAAAUUAGUUGCCGCAAGAGCAGUGCUAGUCCUACAGCCUCUAAUGAAGGGUUGUAAUGUUUUACAAUUUAAACCAUUUUAAAGAAUCAUUUUUUUUCAACUUGUCUUGCCCUUUUUUUCUUUGGUACUAAGAAGCAAAAAGUGUUAGAUAAAUGCUAGGCCCUCUGAUUAGUGUCGGAUUAUUUGUGCAAAAGCUUUACAUGUUAAAAAUACGCAACCAAUUCAUUUAAGGCAUACAAGUACAAUGCUUAUGGAUCUCGAUUGUGAUUCGCCCAAACCAACCUACGCCAUUUCGAACAUGAGUCAGCCUAACCCAGCCUCACACCAUUUUAAAUAUGACUCGGUCUAACCUCGCCUCCGACCACAAGGUAGGAUGGUGGCUCAUUUAAGCCAACAAUACUCUCUCUAGUAUAUGUACAAAAUUAUAGCAUGCAGGAAUCAAACCCAUGAUCUUUGACUCUAAUACCACUUGGCGGAUUGUUCGCACUACUAUUAAUCCCAAAAUUAAGUUCGAGCUAUUAGAAAUAUACAACAAAUUUACUUAAAGCUACAGACACAGCGUUCAUAGAUCUCGAUUAUGACUCGUCCCAACCAGCCUCGUGUUAUUUCGAACGUUACUUGAUCCAACCUAACAGCCCGCCAUAGGUAGGAUGCUGGCUUAUUUAAGCCAAAAUUAGGUGGUUGCGAAGAUUACAACCCAAAAGUGGUAGACUAAACAUUUCUAUUUAAUUAAAGCCAAAUUGCACUUUUAUCUUCAAACUAUAGAAUGUGUGAUAUUUUGAUCCUCAAUCUUUAAUUUUAUAUAAUAUAAUUUUCGCUCAAACUUUAUAAGUUAUUAUAAAUAAGUUCUGCAACAUAAUUUAAUGGAAAAACUUCAAAAAUCCCCUCUGUGAUUUCAUAGUUUCUCACUUUGCCCUCCCGUGGUUUAAAAUGUAUCAAACUGCCCCCCUGUGGUUUCAUUUUUAUCUUUUCGGUAUCUUUUUCGUUAAUAUUUUAUUAAAUUAUAUACAAAAAAACUUCAGAUAUCCAUCUAGAUUUAUCAAAUAUUCACUUUAGUACCCUUUAAAUUAACUUUAUCACUGAUUUAUAAAAAAAAAAAUGAAAUUGAUAAGAAAAAGAGAAAAAAGAAACCACAGGGGGGCAAAUUGAUACAUUUUAAAUCACAGGGGGGCAAAGUAAGAAACUACGAAACCACAGGAGGGUUUUUUGAAGUUUUCCCUAAUUUAAUUGACUAAAUAAUGAUAUGUCGUUGAUGUGGAAGUAAUACGACACGUUAAUAAUUGUCACUUUGUUAACCUAGUACUACUAAAUCACUUCGACAUUACUGACACACUAAUAUUAAGUAAAUUUAUUAGAUUAUAGAACUUGACUGUAACAAUUUAGAAAGUUUGAGAUGAAAGUUUUAACAAAUUAAAAUUUGAAGACCAAGCCUGAUUGUUUCACCAAAAGUGAAGUAGACUUUUGGGUGAAAGAAAGUUCAAAUAAAAAAUAAUUUCCUUCCACUAUUUAUUUCUAUAGCUAUCGAAUUAAAAUUUUCUAGUUUUUCUGUUUGUUUGGAAGAAAAAUGAGUUGCGUGAAGACUAAGUUGUGACAGAUGAAGUAAUAUUUUAUUUUAUUUUAUGUUUUCAUAAUUGACUUUCGGCCAGGGAUGGCAAAGUCAAUUACAUUAUUUUAAAAUAUUUGAAUUUCGGCAAAAUGUGAAGUUACGACAAAUCAAAUAAAAAAAGUGCAUAUUUAUAGCUAAAAAUCACUUCACCCCUCUUCUCCAAUUUAAAGCAAGGGUAAAAUGUUUGGAGAUCCUCCACAAUUAGUUUAUUUGCAAUAGGUGCCUAAACUUUCAAUUUUUGCAAAAAGACCCUUAUUUUAUUAAAUAGUUCAAUAAACCUCUCUCUUCAAUUAAAGUUAUUAAUUACACAAUUAUUUUGAUCUUAUAUAUUACAUAUAGUUUUAUAAAACUUCAAAAUAGUUUUUUUUUAAUAUGCUGACAUAUAAAAAAAAAAAUCUGUUCAAUCUUUUCUUCAAUUGUUAUGCCUCGGGCGUUAUCAAUACUUGAAGAGAAAAAAUAAAUCUCUAUAUACUUUUAAGUCUUUCAAAAUUGUGUGCAUGAUAUUCGAUCAAAACGAUUAUAUAACUAGUAAAUUCAAUUGAGAAGAAGAGUUUAUUGAACUAUUAAAAAAAAUUUAAGAAAUUUUUCUGUCAAAACUGAAAGUUCACGCAUCUAUUUUUGCAAAAGUGCUAAAGCUCAAGGUCCAUGUACUUUUUUUUUUCUUAAAAUAAAUCCAAGUAUUACUACCUGUACAUAGGGAUGCAAAUGGAUCCGGGGUUGGUGGAGCUCCUGCCCCUUACCAUCCCGAAUGGGGCGGUAAGUGGGAACAAAAAAUGUAGAAAAAUAUAAUCCAUCUCGAAUCCGCCCGAUCAGCCAAGUAAAUGGAGCAGGAUGUAGAAAAUCCUUUUCUUCCUUCAAUCCGUCCCAAUCCAUCAAAAAUCCGCUAAAAAAUCUGCUCCCGCCCCCGAUUCGCUCCGAAUAGGACGGUAAGUGGGACCCAGAAAUAAAAUAAAAAAUAACCUGCCCCGAAUUUGCCCUGUCUAGACAAGAAAUGGAGCGAGAGGUGUGGGAACCCUCCCGUCCCCGGAUCCGUCUUGUUUGCAUCCUUACCUGUAUGCUCAAAAGUGUAUAUUUUAUGCUCUCUUAUCCCAUGGUCAAUAAUGAAUUUUUUAAAUACUAAAAUUUUAAGGACAAAUUUGGUUCGCCUAUUUUAAACUGUAAAAUUGAAAUGAAAUUCAUUGGUUCCUAUAGUUGUUCUUUGUUUUACAAGAAUCGAAUUACAAUUCCUAUUCCGUUCUAUGAAAAUGGCCAAAUUCAUUUAUGACCCAAUCCGACUUUGAAUCUGGGAUUAGUUCAUUCCAAAUCUAUUCCAAUAAUAGACCAAAUAUUUUUAGAUAACUCAUCAGUCUAUUUUCAUUUCAAAAUAAUUCAAUUCUAUUUUUCAUUCAUAUUCCAAUCAUGGACCAAACUGUUGGCCUAGUGGUCCUAGUAUUUCAUUAGAUUUUUAUAAUAACAAAUAAUUAUAAUUAUUGGACUAAUCUUUUAUCUUGAGUUUUGCGUUUUAGAUCUCUCUAUCUUCAAAAGGACUCAAAAUGAGCAAUUCUCUAGUACCAAGCUUCACCAGUUGAAGCUAUGUUUGCUUCCUUUGUUAAAUAGACAAUUUCACUUUCUCUAUUCUUAUUUUGAUUAAUAUUAUGCCUUAUGAUUAAAGUGAGAAAUUUUGUCACUUUAUAGCUCACUUGAUCAAAUUUCUAACUUGUGAUAAGUGGUUUUUAUCUCCUUCUACAAGAUGCAUAGGAUUUUAUAAUAUUUAAAAUCUGCUCAAAAUCUGUUCUCUAUCAAGUUACUGUUCUGGACUCUAUUCUGGGCGCCCUAAAGUGAUCCGAAUCUCAUGUGUUUUUGGAUCCUGCCUAUUUGCUGUUCGAGUGGUCCAAAAAUUUCUUCACCUAAUCUAGGCGUCCGAAUGUCUGUUUAGGGCGACCGAAUUGUUUAACUUGACAGAUUGCGUGUUCCGAAUAGUACGACGGAUCGGCUCGAAAAAUUCUGAUGCAGCGCGGCGAAGGCAGCGCGCGUGUUGGAAAUCUGGGCGCCCGCAUCUUCUAGAAGCCCAAAUGAUUCCGCUCAGAGAAAGCGACGCACGUGGUCUGACUUGUUAGAAAAGCCGUCGCGCGUGAUCUAGGUGCCCACAAAUUCUGAAGGUCCAAAUGUACGAUUCUAGAAAAAGCGGCGUAUGUUGUCUAAUAGGCAGCUGGAAGUGCAGUGUGCGUGCACAACUUCUGGGUGCCCAAAAUCAUGUUUAGGGCGCCCAAAAGUGCAACAGACCGGAGCUGCCCGAGGCUAUAAGUAGAUGGCUUUGAGGCCUUUCUCAGCAGCAAUUGCAAAAUCCAUUUGAGCUUAAAAUUUUCAGUGUUUCUAAUACUCUUAGCUCUCAAUUAUCUCUCUAAAUUUGAGUGCAAUUUGUAAUGAGAUUUAAUCUUGUAAAAAAAGAGAAAAGCAAAGUCUUGAAACUUGAAAAGAAGAAGGUGUUGGCGUAAAGGCUUUGUGCUUGUCCGCAGAAGCAUCAGUUAGUGGAGAUCCAACAUUCUCUAGUAUUGAGAAGUUGGCGGGGACGUAAGCAAAGUGCCGAACCUCGAAACAAAUCGAUUGUGUGCUUUUUGAGUUUGCAUUCCUUUAAACUCCUCACUCUAUUAUUUGUUUCGGGUUUUUAAAAUUGCUUGAUUAUUUGGCUUUUUAUUUUAGAAACCUAAUUCAUCCCCCCUCUUAGGUUGUCAUUUUGAUCCUCACAAACAUGUCCUAAAAUACAUUCUCUUUUUUUCUAUUUUAUAGUGUAUAAGUAACUCUUCCUGCUCUAGAAUGAAAAUGACCAAAUUUAUUUAUGACCCAAUCCGACUUUGAAUCGGGGAUUAGCCCAUUCCAAAUCUAUUUCAAUAAUAAACUUAAAUAUUUUUAGAUGAUUCAUAAUUUUAUUUUUCAUUCUUAAAUAAUUUAAUUUAAUUUUUCAUUCCUAUUAUUAGGGGUGGCAAUCCACGCCAUUCGCGAGUCGGCUCGUGUUCGGCUCGAAAUGAGCUCGAGAUCAAAUCGCUCGUUUAGUAAACAAGCCGAACAUGAGUUGAAUUUUUCAGCUCGUUUAAUAAAUGAGCCAAACACGAGUUGGGAUCAACUCGCUCGUAUUCUGCUAGAUAAUAACUCGAAAUAUAUAUAUUUUAUAUUUAUAUAAUUUAUUUAAUUUAUAUUUAUAUAUAUUUAUAUAUAUAAAUAAAUAAUAUAUAUAUAUAUAUAUUUUUAUUACUUGACUUUUAGCAAAAAAAAAUAUAUAUAAAGUUGAGCUCAAUUUUGAAAAAACUUAUUUACAUGUAAAGUUUUAACCAUUAGAUCAAAAUCUAAUAGGUAAAAUUUUAUAAAUUUAUUUUUUAUAUCUAUUCAAUCUAAUUCAUUUAACUUAUUGCUCGUUCGUCAGGUCGUGAGUUAUCUCGUGUUCGGCUCGUUAUUAACGAGCCGAGCACGGACUAAAUUUUUCAGCUCGAUACUUUAACAAGUCAGUUCGUGCUCAGCUCGUUUAUUUGACCCAGCUCGUUUGCGUUCAGCUCAUUUAUUCUACCCUAGCUCGUCCAGUGUUCGGCUCAUUGACACCACUGCUGUUAUGGACCAAACAUGCCCUAAAAUAUGUUUGUUUUUUUUUUUUUUGUUUUUCUUUUUUUCUUUUCUUGGGUUGUAAAAGUAGCUUCUUUUCAAUAAACGCAUCUUUUGCAAUUUAGCUUUUAAACGCUUUUUUUUUUUUGGGGGUGUAAAAGUAGCAUCUUUGCAAAAAACGCAUCUUUUUCAACAAACGCAUCUUUUUUUCUCUUGAAGAAACGAAAGAGCAGCCUUCGUUCGAGAUCGCCUCUUCUUCGGCUUCUCCCUCUUCUGUCCGCCGCCCUUUUCUUUCCUGCCGCCGAAAGUUAACCCCCGAAAAAAAAAAGGAAAAAAAAAAAAAAUGGGCGUGACGAAGGAAGACGUGGAAGCCGCCCUCAACUCCGCCCUCAGCCCUUCCCAUCUCGUAAAUCCCGCUCCGAUUAAUCCUCUUCUCUUUCUCUCUCCGUUUCGCUCUUUAAUCGAAACCCUAAAUACAACUACAAGAAGCUCUUCUCCUUCUUUUAUUACUGUUUAUUCAUUUGGUUUUGAUUUUGGUUUUGGUGUUUUCGCAGGAGGUGAUCGAUACUUCCGGAGGGUAAGCGAUAUCUUUCUCAAUGCAUUCUCUCUUCUUUUUCAAAUAAAUAAAUAAAUAAAUAAAUAAAUAAAUACUCAUGCUAUGUAAUUUAAUGUAACAUCAGAAGGAUUUUUCUGUUCUUGUCAUGAUUGGCUAUCUUGCAGCACAGCCCCGGCCAAGUGACAGAGGACAAGCAAUCAUUAUAUUCUGGGUGUUUAUUUGACAACGCAAAAUAAAAACUUAAAAGCAAGUCCUCGUUUAGUAUCAUCGUCUUUGUUUUUUUAAAAAAAAUUUUAAACACUAAUUCUAUAUAAUUUAAUACGUUGGAAAAAACAAAUUUCUAUUUCUGUUAUAGUUCGUUAGCUUAUAAUACUUCUGACUAAGUGAUAGAUGACAAUUUACUUAAAAAGAACUUUGAAAGCAGGAAGAAAGUCUUUUUUUUUUUUUUUUGUCAAGUAAAUACUAUGGAUGAAAGGAUUGCACGUAAUUUACUGUUCAUCUUAUAUCUUUGGCUAAAUUAUAGAAAAUCUCCUAGCCAAAAUCUAAUUUUUCUUUUCCCGUCAUUUAAAAAUCUACAUUUGCCCUCUUAUAAAAUAAAAAAUGUUCGCGGGGUACGGUGUGAAAUGUGAUGAGAAAAUGACCAUUUUGCCCCUCAUCAUUUUCGUCUCCUCCCUCAUCUUGCUCAUCCGCCGUCUAGAUCGGUCGCGGUUCGCGCCUCGAUCGGUCGCGAUUUCUCUUUAUUUUCUUCUCCAUCUGCUCCCCUUCUCCUCCUGCAUCCUCGUCGCCCCUCUAUUUUGGCGACAGUAGGGAGGAAAUCGAGGUAGACGUGAAUGGAAAAGUGGGUAAGGGCGACGAGGGCAAAGGCGAGGCGGCGGAGGAGGGCGAGAGGUUAUUUGUGGGCGCGGAUGGACAUGUGGGCGAGGGCGAGGCAAUGAAGGAGGGCGAGGCGGCGGGGCAGAGGAGGGUGAAGCACAGUAGAGGGUAGAGGGUAUUUUUGGCAUAAAAAAUAUUUUAUAACCGAACCCUAAUGGAUCAUUAACGGUAGGGGGUGAAGUGAACAUUUUUUAUUUUACAACAGAUAUAGGUUUUUAAAUGACAGGAAGGGAAAGUGAAAAAUCGGGUUUUGACAAGGCGGUUUUCUAUAAUUUAGACUAUAUCUUUUGAUAUACAAACUUUAUCUUUAUCUUAAAAAUAAGAAAUAAAUACGAUACCAAACGAGGCAUAUUUUUCUUUUUUUUUUUUUCGCUUUGAAGGGUUUUCUAAAUGAGCUGGCAUUCAUCACUUGGCUUGCAAUGCAAGCUAAUUAACUAUGAGAAUAAGAUGAAAGUCUUUCUGCUGGCAUAUCAAUUUAUAUGGAAUUGGACAUGUUUGGUUUGAAGGAUUUGAGACUUGGAAUGAGAAUUGGAAUGGUCCGUUUCUAUUGUUGGUGUUUGGUUUGAGAGAUUGACGUUCUAAUUCCCAUUUUGGGGGAAUCGAAUCCCUUAAAAUGAUUCUCAUCAUGGAGAUUGGAAUCAACAUUAAUUCAAGAAGAGAUUGAAAAAAGAACUUUUUUUCACUAACACAUAUUUAAAUUUAAAUGUGGAAUAAAUUAUUAAUUUUAAAUUUGAAUUUGAAUGAUGGAUUCAAAUUCAAUUUUUAAUUUCCUAAGUUCAAAUUUAAGUUUUUGACUUUGAACUUGAAUUUGAAUUGUACAUAUACAUUUUAAGUUCAAAUUGUGAGUUCAAAGUUAAAUUUAAAUUUUGACUACAAUGUUGGAUAGUAAAUUAAAAUUUUAAUUUUUUUUUAUUUCAAUCUGAAUGUGAUUUCGAUUCCUAGUCCUCUUAGGAACCAAACGAAUUUGGAGUUUUUAUCAUUAUGUUUUCGAUUCUGGUUCAUUUUCAUUCCUAUUCCGAUUUUGAUUCCUAUUUCGAACCGAACGUGCCCUUAAUGGUAAAGAAAAAGGCAAUAAUACCAAACGAGGCCUUAGAUUUUUGUUUUUUAUUGUCAAACAAAUACCUUGGAUGUAAAGAUUGCAAAGCAAUCAACCAUCCUCUCCUGCACUAUUUCAUGUAGCAAUUCUAUCUAAAAAACAAAAAACAAAAAAAAACAACGAUGCCAAAUGAAGCCUUCGCAUAUUCAUCAUUAUCUCACAAUGUUUCUUUUAUUUUUUGGGAUAAAAGUUGUAUAUGAACCCUCUUAACCAUAUGGUAUUUUAACCUUAGGGUAUUUUGUAAUAGACCCGGCAAUUAUGUUUCUUUUAAUAUGAGUCAUGGAACAAUUCAUGGGGCUAUUCAGGAUUCAAAUGUUUAUCAAAUGGUUAUUCAGUAUAAGUACUAAUCACGUCAGGCCCAAUUUUAAAAAUAAAAACAGAAUUUGUGUUUUCGAACAUAUUGUAAAGGGCCUUAGUUUUUUUCCUUUUUUUCGUUUAAGUUAAUUUUAUUAAUUUAAAUCGAGAAUUUUUGUUUAGUCUGGCAGUGAUUUUGUUACUAACUUUUUUCGCCUAAUGAUAUUGUGAAUUUCUACCAUUAGUUUUAAUAUAUUUUUAUUUCAAUUUAGAAUGUAUUGAAUCAAAAUAAUCAGAAGUUUGGAGGUUGCCGAUCAAAAGAAAUAAAUGUGAGAACCAAUUUCAAAAUGGCCUACAUUUGAGGCGGUCCUUAUGCAAUUUGAAUCUUCCUUUUGCUGUAAAAAUGAGGAAAAUUAGGACGCGUCCUACAUUGGGCACGCCCUUAAAAGCUGAUAUGUAGCUUUGUGCGGGUUUUGAGCUGUAUGCAUAUUUCAAAAUGCAGCUGAUGCAAUAACCGUAGGAUGCGUCCUACAGAAUUUUGGUCCUAAAAAUGAUGUUUCACCGGUGAUAUUUGUGAAAAUAUUUGGGGGAAAAUUUUUGUAAGGUGCGGGGCGAGCUUUGAUAUCGAGAUCGUGUCGGAGAAAUUCGAAGGGAAGAGGCUGCUGGACCGGCAUCGGAUGGUGAAUAAUGCGUUAGCCGAGCAGAUGAAGCACAUCCACGCCCUCUCCAUCAAGAAGGCCCUCACCCCGGUACAGUGGAAGCCCAAAGAGGAACAAGAGGCCCGCAAAGAGUAACACAAAAAGAAUGCGAGGCCUCCCUUGAACAUUCGUUCAUUUGCAUACUGCUCUUCGAACUUUGAAAAGUUAAAAUCGAACUUUACAAAUCUUGUAGUUGUAUCAAUCAACCGUCCUGAUUUCUGUUAAUUUUUCCUUAAUAAUCAUCAAUUACACGAAAGCCAGAUGACUCGAAUAUACCUGUCGUACUGAAUGCUUGGCUUUUAUGCGAUCGAAGAUUGUUAAGAAAGGUUACUAUUAAUUUCCAGACGAGGUGGUCGAUUGAAAGAAUUAUGAAAUUUACGUUGUUUAUUUUUAACUUUUUAUUGUUCGGGAGGCAAUCUCUAAAUGUGCUAAUGUUCAGCAAGUCUCGCAUAUUUUUCCUAAGAUUAAUCAUCUCCAAGCUCUAAAAUGGAAAGGAAAUCUCUAAUUCCAUUUACUUAUCUAAGUUGUUCCCUUAUAACUGUCUGAUAAAAUGACUCAGGUCGUUUGUUUUGGUGCUUUGAGCUGGAAUAAUAUGUUGUUUGCCAUAUUUGGAUUAUGGGGAUUCAUAACACAGAUUCUUGUUGAUAAGUAGUUGAUUGAGCUUUGAAAGGGUUUGGAAUUACGAAUGUGAUCUUUUGGGCUGUUAGUUUUGUUGGUUUUCGUAUUUUGAGUGCACUAGUUGUUCUGCAGUAGGCUGGUAUUGAUGAGGCUAGUGUCUCUUUAACUUGGCGUCUCGAACAAUAUCUCGUCUCAAGAACCAGAAGCUGGGCAUUUCGCGAACAAUAGGACUAGAGCUUCUGUCUCCUGAAAUUUGAUGUUUCUGCCUCCAGCUUGAAUAGAAGCUUGUUUGUGGGAAUUGAAGUCACGGAUUUUUUUUUUUUAACAGCUCUACUUGAAUAGUAUUUCACAGGAUCUGAGUUCGUGCUAAGGAGGUCAUUGAGUUCUCUGCAGUGUACAAAAACUGAUGAAUGUCUUCUUAAGAUGUCCUCAGCUCUCUGUCAGGGAAUGUUUGGUUGAAAAUUUGCAUUAGAGAACUGUAAUUCAUAUGGCAAAUCUCAAAUGGUUGGAUCAAAAAGCUUUGAUUAUUGUGAUCUUUAUCAUCUUAAGAGGGAGAAAGUUUUCUGCAAUGGAACUUUCUUGCUGUGAUUUCCGGCUUUUAUCCAUGUCUAAAUGUUGUUGUUGUUUUUGCGUUUAGCGUGUUUUAAGAACUGUCCUAACAAAUGUGUGGUGUCUUUUAAGAAUUGUUCUGCGGAUACAAUUUCAACUUGGCAUUUCAAUUUUAAUUGUUCAUUUGGUAAAUUUUAACUUGGGUUAGCAAUUGUGCACCUACACUGUAAUUGGAGAUGCGAGUGGUUGAAAAAAAAAAAAAGAAGCAAUAAUUGCUAUAUUUGUUUUGUUUGGUUUUGCAUGGCUGCUAUUGGGUGUUAUAGUUCUAUGCCUACAACCAAUUCGCGCAGUUUCUAAUUGCACUAAUUGGUUAUCUUUUUACUACUUAGUUUGCGCGAGCAAUGCAAUAAGCAUAUUACUCUCUAAAACUCGAAAUAAUUGAUCGCUGAGAAGUGAUGUAGUGUCGAAAUGAUUCAAUAUAGUUUUAUCAGAAACAAGUGAUUCCAGUUAUGCGCAUUUUCAUAACUGCCAGAAUAAUAUGAUACAGUUCACAGCAGAGAGCAUGGAAUCUGGCAUGUUAUGCUCUGCAAUCUGAAGAACAUUGCAGCUUGCUUGCAGAAUAUGUGCAGAGAAACAACAUCAGAAGAUUUCUCAGCCCUUCAGUUAUCUGCUGAUUAAGGCUAUAAUGUUUUAAUGUGUAGAAACAAGAAUGCAAGCAGUAUGAAAGGGAAGGAAAGACAACAGAAAUUGCGAACCCCAAUCCAGUUGAUAAAGCUGGUCCGAUUCCAAAAAUAAUUGGUUUUGAACAAAAAAUUUCAGACAAAUUAUUUUGUCCGGAUAAAAUUCAGGGUCAAGAUUCUGGACAUAAAAUCUCGACAACAGGGUCGGUGACCUAGUUUUGCACUAAUAAUUUAAAUGGUGAGUUAUUAAAGCUAAAUUAUAUUAGAUUAUUUUCUAGUUUUUGAUAGUUUAUUUAGAAAUAUAUGUGGAGUGCUUUUGCUUCUUCGGUGGAGAUUUCUAUUGCAUAGGAGGAAGGAAGACAGAAGAAGUAUUUUAAAAAUUUUUGAACUUUUUAAAAUAUGAAAGCGGGUGCUUUUAAUCACUACAAAAUAUUUUAGUAUUCAUAGUUUAAUAGAAUAAUAUCCUUUCACUUAAGAAAAUGACUUGAAGGAAAUUUACUAUAUACUCAAAAUAUUUGAUCACGCUCUAUUAAAUACUAGAAGUUUCUUGAAUAAAUUAAGGUUUGUUUGAAAAUAAUAUUUGAUCACACUCUAUUAAAUACUAGAAGUUUCUUGAAUAAAGGUUUGUUUGAAAAUAAUAAAGUGGAGAAAAAUAAAGUGGCUAGUUUCAUAGAGCCACAGUUUGCUUAAACUCACAACUAUGCAUCAAUAUUCCAUGUAGUCAAAUUCUUGGAAGUAAGGCACACGUAGGUUGGAUCUUUUCAAGUUCCCUGAGAUUUAAAUAACACCAAGCGCUGGACGGUGCGCGCGCAUUCGGGCUCUGCCGACUCGUCGAUCUCUUCGACAAGUUGAUUUUUUUUGCGGCCGCCGACGACUUCCUCGUCAUCGAUAUCGAUGUCACAGUCGGAGAAUACCAAGGCUUCAAAUAAUGUUUAGACAUCAUAGGCAAUACCACACCAUUGUUAAAUAUUAAUUUAUAUUAUUAGACCAAUCUUUUAAAAAAUGCAACUUUUAUCCAAAUAGUAUAAUUUUCAUCAAAAAGAGCGUAAUAUUCUUCUCAAAUAGUAUAAUUUUUAAUGAAAUUGUGCAAUUUAUGUUAACGAUUCAACUUCAUCAGCUUCUUCUUUCUUUUAUGUUUCUUAGCUUUUUCUGUAGCAGCGAUGAUACAUAAUAACUUUGCAAGAAGGAAAAAAAAAAAAUCUUUACUUUUUUCUUUUUAUUGUUUAUUCUUUUUUUUUCUAUUAUUUGCAUUCUUUUUUCGCUCCUUAGAGAAGCACGGACCCUUCUUCGUCCUCAAUCUUACGGGCGACAGCGAGGAUGGUCAUGAUCUCAUCGUCUCUGUUCACUUCGUCCUCACCUGUACCCGCUCUAAGUCCUCCGACGCUGGCGUCGGCAGAGGUGAAGGCGAAGGCGGAGAAAGAGGAGACGGUGCCAUUCUCGUUACAAUCGUCGAAGGUCGCGGAGACAGUGGAGUGCCAUUCUCGUUACAAUCGCCGAAGGUCGCGGAGACAGUGGAGGAAGCGAUGGAGUCAAAGAGGAAUAAAAAAGGACGAGAAAAAAAAAAAGAUGAGUGUAAAAAAUUCAAAAAAGGCGAGAAGGAAGGUUAACCGUAUGGAAGAAGACGAGUGUGAAAAAAAAGAAAGAAAAAAAAUAAAAAUAUUUUGAUAAAUUUAUUUAAAAUCUAGAUCGAAACUAUAAAAUCUAAAAAUACGGCCUACUUACGUAAAAACUCAAAACCUUUACAAAAUUUGUUGAAUCAUUUAUGUAAAUAAACAGUACCAUACAUUUGAACAUCCGAUUUAAUACAAAUAAAUACCUCCCUAAAUCAAAGAGAUUUGUCGAGUAAAAUAUUAAUGCAUCCGACCAUGUGAGGAAACCGGUCUCCGCGGCAUAAACCCAAACCCAAAACCCUUCCGACUCCCAUCGCGGGGUAACCCGUCUCGUCGUCCCCGAACACCCACCUCAAACUCUUUCCCCUCUCCUCCUCCCUCUCCUCCUCCUCCUCCUCCUCCUCCUCCUCUUCGAUCGCUAGAUCUCUCUUACCUCCACCUCCUCCCAAUGCGAUCGCGAGAUCCUUCUACGCCCCCACGGCUGCGGCGGCGAUACGAUGGAUGUCGUCUUCUCCGGCGACGGUGAGCUUGCUGAGGCUGAACGAUCUGAGGGACAACGAGGGGGCGAGGAAGAAGAAGAAGCGGAAGGGGAGGGGGAUCGGGUCGGGGAAGGGGAAAACGGCCGGGAGAGGGCACAAGGGGCAGAAGGCGAGGGGGACCGCGAAGUUCGGCUUCGAGGGGGGCCAGACCCCGCUCCGGCGCCGCCUCCCGCGCCGCGGCUUCAAGAACCCCUUCAGCCUCACCUUCCAGGUGGAACCCCAUCCGGAUCCUUCCUUUGAUCAUCUCUUUUUCUUUUUUUUUUUUUGUUAGGGUUUAUGUUUAUGCUUUGUUUCGGUCCAUGAUCUCAUGCUAUCUCAUUCUCGCAAAGCAGGAUACUUUGGUUUUUUAGCUAGUCAUAAGAAUUGACAAGUAUGAGUUUAAUUUAUGUUGAUUGUAGGAUAUCUAACUGUUAAAAGAUGAAAAAAUAAUAAUGCGUGGAGAAUUGGAGACUCCUCGAGUAUCCGCCCAUUUUGAAGUGGACCUCUGGCAGCCACCCCUUACCUUUCGAUAUUCCCUUCGGCUUCAGGACUCUGAAUUUGAUGAUAGAAUUACAGAUUAAUUCAAUGGACUCCGUCAUUCAAACCAUGCUACAGCAAACAAAGCUUCGUAACAACUUUAGAGCAAUGUAUAUAGUGAGGAUAAAGUACUGCUAGAAAAGAUUUUUAGUUGUUCCUUUGUUUACUCGUCCGUUGAUGACCAUGUGGCUAUGGAAAGCUAAUAGUUGCCUGGUUUUUGUAUUGCAUUCUUCGAAAACAAUCACUUUUGUGCUUCAAAGUCCCUAAAACCCAAAAGGACUUUGAUGCUCUGUUCCUUCAAUGCCAAAUGAUGGUUUGGAAUGUUUAGCAGAGACGCAAUCCCGUUGCAAUGGACGGAUGGAGUUCCAAUGUACUUUUGGCUUUGGGAGGCUCUUAAGGCAUCAAAAUGGUUGCAUUUUGAGCUCAAACCAGGCCUUAAUCGAACGCAGCUCUAUUUUCUUUGUAUAUAUAUAGCUUUUUAGCUUACAUUAACAUUGCCGACUGAACAUUAAAAGAGAUUCAAACUGCCUCCUAUGGCCUCAUUUGGUUAGUGUUGCCUUUUUUUUGUUUUUACAAAUGAAAAUUCUAUGUGGUUCGAGCCUUAGAUGUGCCAGCGGAUGGACUUCCUACUCUUGUAAUCAUUGGCUAACUUGCAAUGCAACCCAAACGGAUGCCAAAAGACAUCUCCUUCGAGGACACAAAGAAGCAGAAAAAGUUUGAAUGGCUAAGUCACUUCUCAAUCCAACCACGCACUCCAUCACAUAGAAUUUAUGUUUACAUUUUAAAGAAACAAAAAAUGACGACAAUACCAAAUGAGACCUACAAGUUUAUGUAAAUAACGAGGAUGUUUUUAUCUCGUUAUCUUUUUAGCUAAAAUAUGUUAAAAAAUCUUAUCGAUAUGCCUUGCAUUUUUCAUCAAGGAUUCUGGUAAAUUUAUGAACAAGCCAUUGUAAACUUAGUGCUACCAAAACGUUUUCCUUUCAAAAUACCUAUCUUUUUUAUCUUCUUGUUUCCAUUUGUCUGUUGUUGGGGAUCCGACAUGGCUGAGUUAACCUAUUUGUUCAAACUAUGAUUGCACGAGUUUUUAUCUUAAUUGAAAGUGUUGUGUUUACUGUUGUAAGAUAUUCAUUUAGAUGAUAUGCUAUUUUUUAAGAUUUGACUUAUGCUGGAUUCUGUUUCAACUACUUGUCACACCAAAAUUGUGGUGGCAAUUGGAGAUUAGAAAUGUAGUUAUAGCUUAAUUGAUUUUAUAUUCGCUACUGCAUGAUCUAUAUUUUCCGGGUCUCUCACCUGUGCACAAAUUUUAUUAUAGAAACCUGCACCUUCCAUAUAUGUUCAAUCAUUGUAACUUUCCCCUAUCUUGAUCCGUGUAUCUUUAGAUGUUGCAUUGGUUUCACUCUUUUUAACUCGUUCUUAUUUACAUUUAUAUUGUGAACAGCCAGUUGGUCUGGGAAAAAUUGCAAAACUGAUUAAUGCAGGCGAGAUUGAUUCAUCAGAGCUUAUCACGAUGAAGACCCUCAAGGUACUUUCAGGUUAUUGUGCAUUUCUGCAUUUUACAGCUAUUUUGUCUUUUUAACAUGAACUAUGGUAUUUUCAUGAUGUUAGGAUACAGGUGCUAUUGGGAAGCAAAUAAAGGACGGUGUGCGAUUAAUGGGUCGUGGUGCAGAAGAUAUUAAAUGGCCAAUUCACCUUGAGGCAAGCUUCUUUUGUUUGUUAUCGUCUCUAAUUUCCAUCCAAGUCACUUGUUGAUCUUUGUGUGUAUCCUUCUGCUUUUACUUUUCUGUGAAUGUUAAACUGAACAUGCAUUUUUUAUGAUGUUUUAACUAAUAAAAGCAAACAGAAAAGUGUGCUCCAAUAAAAGGGCUUUUGUAUAAAUAUAUGGAAUAGUGCCGUAAUGUUAGCUAGUUAUGAGCUUCAAUUUGUCUUUGUGCUAGCUGCUUCCAGUUUCACCUUGCUUUCUAUGCUUCAUAAUCAUCAGUACUUCAAUUUAUGACCAGGUUGCAAUUUCAUUCUGCAAAAAUAACCAAUAGUUGAAAGUUGACUGUGAUAUACAAACUGAAUUAUUUAGAAACCAGCCAUUGUCAGGUUUUUGCUUCUGCAAAAAUGCAUCAUCUAUCACACAGCACUUGCUUGAUUGGGACUUUUGGCGAAUUGCCGAAGCUCCAUUCCCUCUGACGCUCAUAUCAGCUAUCGACUGCAAGUCUCUUGUUUUGUCUUUAUUGGCCUGCAACGGUGAAGGCAUCUACCAACUUGUUUCUGGUUGAGCCAUGCUCUGCAUGCCGCAACCUAUGGGACCGUGCUCCCAAACAGAUCCUGCGUUUAUUAUACCAUUGCAAGCUGCUUAAGCUCUUAAAAUGGAUUCCAAGGUGGUAACUAUAAAUUCCAUGAUGCAAGAACUAUUGUCUUGCUAGACAACAUUGACAGGAAAUUGGUUCAGCUCUAGAAUUCAAAAUUGUACUAGAAAUAUGCGCAAGCCCGUAACCACCAAUCUACUUAGGCUUGUUAAAAUAGAACACCAAGUCUAUGUACAAAUCUUGAUCAUUUAUUGCCUAUAUCACUCUCUGAGACUCUUGAUAUCACUCCCUUCUGACUUUGUUUAACUUGUCAAGCACGGACAUGCUGCUGUGUUGAAACAUUUUCAACCAGCUUGGUUUUGUAUAUACUGUAUAUUCAAAUUGUCACCAUUUCCCCCAAUUGUACGCAUGUUGAAGCUGCUCAGUCUCUCUCGGUGAACUUCAUGUAGAUAAACAUUUAACAGCCCACUUGUAUUUUUAUUCAAACAAAAUCUAAAUAGCUGAUCUAAAUUUGUCUUCAACUUUAGUUUAAGGCUGAAAAUAGAGAAAACCCACUAGAAAUAUGUGAUUUGCAUCAUAUCUACGCUCGAUAGUCGGAGCGUAACUGAUUGCCCCUCAAUUUAUUGUAAGGUCCUGCAAACUUUUCCCAUCUACAGAAGGAAGUGCAAAUCACAGUUUUAACAAUGGGGUUGAUUUUAGCUCUUCAUUUCCUACUGCACUCUUCCGUGCAAAGAGAUCCAAAAUGAUUAUUGUGCUAAUUAUAGUGUCCCAAUAAUCUUUUUCUUGUUUUGCUAUUACAUUUUUGUGAUGACUUCCUUUCCUGUGCGGUCCAUGACUUCUACUGAACUAAUCAUCUCGUGUUACAUUUCUACCUCAAUGGUGUGUAGGUAUCAAGGGUCACAGUUAGGGCAAAAGCAGCAGUAGAAGCAGCCGGUGGGUCGGUGAGGAAGGUCUACUACAACAAGCUUGGAUUUAGGGCACUUCUCAAGCCUGAGUGGUUCGCGAAGAAGGGGCGGCUUUUGCCUAAAGCAGCGAGGCCUCCACCAAAGCAGCGCGAUAAGGUCGAUAGCAUUGGCCGCCUCCCCGCCCCUACAAAACCGAUACCUUUUACACCUGAAGAAGAGAAAGAGGCCGCAGCAGCUAAGGUGGCUGCAUGAAACUGAAAAUGUUAACUUUGUUUCAUUCUGAUCGGAAUUUUGCUCGAUGCUUUUGGGAGGGCAAAAAUGGGCUUCACUUGUACUUCUGUAAACAAAAGCAUGUUGGGUUUUAUUUAUUGGAUCGGAUUCAAUCUGGUCAUCUGGAAGAAGAAUUUAUUGUUGCAGUGCCAAUUUUCUCUUUCUAUUUUUUUGUUAAUUUCCAUUUGAUACAAUAGAGAGUUGAACUGAGAUGAUCUGAUAAAAGAAAAGAUGCAUGAUAUGGAAGCAUGCUCAUGUUUUCAUGAUUCUAUGUAUAUGUUUGGUGUAUUCUGGGUCACGAAAGUUGUUGAAUAAAAACGUUGAUUCAAAGAACUAGACCAUGCAAUUUUACAUGUACACAUAUUUUCUUGUACUAAGGUGGAACGCGAACUUACACACCAGCAUCAACCAGUUUAUACUUUAGGGAGGAAAAAAAGAAAAAAAAAGAAAAACAAAAGAAAAUAACUGUGUUUAAUGCAACAGUACACGCAUGCCUAUUACAUUUUCAUUGUGCUGUUUCUUCUCUAUGUUUGGUUCAAAGGAUAGAGGAAGAAUAAGGAAUUUAUUCCUCUUAUUCUUCCAAAUGGUGUCAAAUAACGCCAAGAAUUACUAUUCUCCUCUUAACGGAUUAUUCCGAAAUAAUCCGUUAAGAGGGGAGAAUAGUAGUUCCACCUAUUGGGUGGAACAAGCUAUUCUCUACUUUAUUCCUCUACUAAUUAAAUUAUAAAUAAUUAUAAAUUAUAAUUAAUUAAUGCAUUUAAAUUUUUUAAUAAUUGACUAAUUAAUUAUUUAAGUUAUUAAAUUAAUAAAUAUUUAAAUAAUAAUCUAUUUAUAAUUUAUUAUUAUUUAUCUAAUUAAAUAGUUAGCCAUAUAUUCAAUUAUUUACUAAUAUUUAUAUUAUUUAAAUAAUUAGUAUUUUAAUUUAUAUAAUUAAUAUAUUAACUAAAAAAAUAAAUGAUUAAAUAAUUAAUUCUAUUAACAUGUUGACUUAUUUUUUAUAGUUAUUUUCUAAUUAAUGUCAUCUUUGUCAUCUCAUAUCGUAAUUUUAAUUAAUUUAUAAUGUAAUUUUGAUUAAUUUAUUUAUUAACUUAUUAAAAUAUUAUUUACUAAUACUUAGGUGCUUAAUAUUUAGAUAAAUUAGUUUUAUUUUCAAUCAUAAUUACUCUUAUCCCUACUAUUCCAACCCAAUCAACCAAACGUAAUUUUUCUUAUUCCUCUAAAAAUCUCGAUUCUCGUCCAAACACAAAAUUGAACUAAUUCCUACUCAUCACAAAAGUUACACCUAUCCCAUGAAUAAACAAAAAUUGGUUGUUCUCGAACCAAACGGUAUCUUAGGGAAUUGGUAUAGAGGAACUGGCAUAACAGAGCUAGUUUUGCUAUCAAUGGCACAAAAGUCAUAAUUUCUGUUAAAAUAUAGUGCAAUCUGCCGUGGCAAUAUGCAAUAGUGGAAGUGUGGAACCAAUACUUUUAACAUCGAUUUCUUUCCCUUCUUGAUAGGGUAAUGCUGUUUAAUCAAAAAGUGAACAGUUAGGGAGGCUGUCCGCUCCAUUAGGGCCCUUGGAUUUGUGGUUUUUGGUCUGGAAUGUUGUAGAUUGGAGAGCCGAAAAUAUAUAUAUUCGGGUCUUCAAUUUCGGAGCGAACAUCAUUACUCUACAAUGAAACAGCAUGUUAAAUUCUAGCAACAUAUAUUGUAUCUGCUCCAGUAGUAAUACUGAACUAGUUCUUCGAUCAUCGAUUUCCUUUCGUUCUUUGUAGGAUAAUGCUGUUCAGUCGGAAAUGGGAGAGCCGAAAAGGCUUUCCAAUUCCGGGCCCUUGUAUUGCGGGUUUCAGCCUCGGCAAUCCAAGAGUCCCCCAUAAAUUGGAGAGUCCAAUGUAUUUAGCUCUCCAAUUUCGGGGCGUACAGCGGUACCCUGCAAAAGAAACAGCAUGAAGGAGCUGAUUGAAGUCGGUAUUUAAUGUCUCUUGCAUCAAAGAAAACUUGUUUCUUAUUAUGCCUUUCUAUUAUCUUAAGGCAGUAUAAACUGGAUUGAUAUUAAUAUUCACUAGUUAAGGACUCGCGCGAUGUUGCGGACGUAAUGCGACGGGAAGACAAUAUUAUUUGUCUUAAAAAUUAAAGAAUAAAAUUAAAAUAAAUUUCUUUCUAAAAAUAUUUAAACCUAAUAAGUAAAAUAAAUAAAUCAGUUUAAAAUAAAACAAAAGCUUAUUACAGUAUUAAAAAAAGAUGAAUAAUAAUUUUCUAUUAUCAUCAAGGUAGAAUUUAUAAAUAAAAAAAUAUCGCGAUGAGUCAGUUACAAUAUAUUUUUUGUGAUCCCACCGGAGGACGCAGAAGUAUAUUCCUAUAUGCUUUUAUCCCAACUCUAUGUUAUCUAAUAGUGUUAAAUAUGCCUCAAUACCAGCCUUAUAUUAGAUAGUUUUAUCUUGUUAAAAUUAAAAUUUAUGCGAUAAAAUUUUAUACUUGGUGUAGAUAAAAAGAAAAAAAUGUUGAGAGAAAAAAAUAAAAAAAGAAAAGGUGUAGGGUGUGUGAGAGAGUGAGAGAGAGGGUGAAAAAAAUAGUGGGACCCAUCGAAGCGCCCCGACAAACGCGGAGAGGCUUCGAUUGCGUUGCCCUUUCAUUAUAUAAUAUAAUAUAAUAUAUAGAUAUAGAUAUAAACAUACCUUGUGUUGCUAAACAUUUUUUUCCACAUUAAAUAUAUCUUGUUCAAAAUAGUAAGACAUUUUUUUAUCGUUUUAAACAAAGGCAUCGAAAUAUAAACAUAGAGCAAGUAUAGAUUUUAAUUAAGCGAGUAAUGGAAAAUAAAAUGCAUGUAACAUAAAGAGAUGAAAAGGUUGUAAUUAAUUAGUUACAUUAUUAAACUGUUUUAAAAAUUUAUCGAUGAAGUCAGCAAAAAUUUAAGAAAGAUUAAAUUAAGGAAACUCUGCACAAAAUUUUGAUAACUGAUCAUUAGUUUAUUUUAAUUAAGUGAGUCAGGCAAGAAGAAACCAAAAGAAUAUAAUUAAUUCGUUACACAUUUAUUUAUUUUUUAUUUAAGUUUAUCGUUCUAGUACUGAAAGAAACAUACUUGUUUAGCCAAAAAUAUUAAUUUAUGUAUUUUUAUACCAUCAAGAAGUACACUUUAUGAGAGUAUACAUCAACAUAGUUUUACCUUACCUUACGAAAGUAGAAGACAUGGACCCCAAAUUAUUCUAGAAAAAAUACAUGGAUAUAACUGUCUUGAUCUAUAUCAUUUUGGAUCCUCCCCACAAAAUUAGGAGAUAAAGCCAAGAAAAAUUACUCCUCCUUAUUAAAGUAAAAUUAAAGUAAAUGGGCCCCAAUAACUCUACUAGAAGUUAUAAUAAGUUAUAAGUGUAUAUAUAUAUAGUAAGUUGGAGAAGAUUUUAUAUCAUGGUUGAUGUUGAAGGAUAAGCAGGUAGAGACAAAGUUAAAGGUUCAUGCAUCCUAUGUUUGAUGUUAAACAGCAUUGCUAUAUAUAGACAAACUUGGGGAGGAUGCAUGCAUCGGAAUUAUAAGAAAGAAAAGAAAAGGAAAACAAAUAUUCUAUAUACUAUAGGAAAUCUUAUAUGAGAAAAGUUUAUCUUGUGGAAAAUUAUAGUUCAGUCCUCAAUUGUUUGUUUUGUGACAUUUUAUGUUUAGAUAGAUUUGAAUUUUCAAACCAGUAGCACAUUAAUAAAUUAAGUAAACUAAAAAUUCCAUUGUUAGUGGUUAAGUAAAUUAUUUUUCUGGGACAAUUUAAUAAUUUCUGAGCUUUCAUGAUUUCUAGGUCCGUUAUGUUGAAUUAUUGGAAUGAAUUCUAACAACCCAUGGAUAAAUAUAAAUAUUUUCCAAAUAUGAAAGUAAUAUGGUAGUAUUACAAUUAGCCAUAAAAUUAGCUAAUCCAAUUUAGUUAUAUAAAUAUUGGGCACAAAAUUAAGGUACUUAAUUCACACCAUGGCAAAUUUUCUUAGACUUGGAAGAUGAAAUGUAGUAAAUAUAUGUUGCUAAAUUACACUGCAGGGCCUUAAAUUAGAAAUUUCAAUACAAUUCGUUGAUCAAAUUUUAAUUUACCAUAUUUCCUAGGUUGGUUUUGUAAACUAUUAUAGCAUGGCAGAUAACUACUUAAGGCAUAUAAUUGCAGACAGUUGUGUAAUUAUUAAUAUUUGAUGAAAAAAUAUAAAAGUGAUGCAAAUCGCUUGUAUGUUUUAUGAUAGAACUUCUCUAUCUCUUUUUUAAAAUUCUUCUUUACCAAAUUCUUUUCCAUAAUUUCUAUUCUCCACUACAUCCCACAAAUCUUGGGAUUCUAAAAAACAUCGAAUGAUAAUUUUCCAUCGUUUAAAGUUCGUUCCAUCGAACUUUGGUAAAUUAGGUUGAAUAAACCAAUCUAAAUCCAUAACAAAAACUUGAUAACCUAAAAAAUAAGUUUCAGAUUUGCACCUUUUUAUUUGGAUGACGUCCCUAGUUCAUCGAAAUCUCGCCGAAUUUUCUGUACUUCGGCUUGCUUGCCUAGUCCUCCUGGCUAUCUCGUCAAGUCUUCUUGGAUCUCUUCACAGGCUCUCCUCGCUCUCUUUUCGUCAAGCAUCACAACCACCUGCUGUUGUGUAUUGUGCGGAGGCCAACUUCUUCAAAGCAAUUCUUUCGCUUUGAUUUCACCUGAACGUCACCUUCAAUCUGCUACGAAUCGCUUAACUUUGACGUAGCUAUCCGGUAUAUUGGAUCUAUAUUCUUUUCGAAUAUGCUGUCAUCUGGUUUAUAAGUUGCAUGACACUUUCCGGCUCUGAUACUAAUUGUUGGAAGCGUGAUUUUCUCCGAAACCACUUAUCGGAACCGGUAUUUGUGCUAAUAUCGAUUAUAUAAUCCAAGAUUUAAAAUAGAACAAAAUAAUAUGAAGAAGAGAUAUUGGAUGAGAAAGAAGAUAACUAAAAUAAUAAGCAAUUAAUUACAUUCUGGACAACACCCUCAGCCAUGUCUAUUAUGGCUUAUUCAUCUAAUUAACCCAUGCCUAACUAUAUAUAGCCAUCAAAUCAUAACAGAUGAUAAAUCUAACUUUAACUUUGGAUAACUACAAAUCUUAACCAUAAUCAAAUAAAAGAUUUAAACUUAUCUAUAACUAUAUUUUAAUUAAGUUUGGAUUAUUAUUUUCAACACAUCUGCAUAGGGCCAGCCAGUCAACCCAGAGAGCCAUAUGUUCUAUCCCAACAAAGAAUAGGCGAAACGAGCAACAUUGCCAAACACUCCCAACAGCAGAUUACAAAUGAGUCCGGAGUACAUCCAACUCAUAACUUCAAUUUCUUUUAUAAGGGGUACUACAUAAAAUUUUUGUCAAGAAAAAAAAACACGCUCAACCAAGGACUAUUAGUAAUAUAACCUUUUGAGUUCGGAGUGUUAAAUCGGUGCUCUGGAUUCAAAGAGCCCUUCUAAGAUAGAACAGUAACCCCACCUACUGAAAAGAGGAUUUAAAAAUUAUGAUACUUUCCCUAAGGACCUCCUGGUCGAAGGCGAUGUUGUGGACUUAAUGGCAACAUGCAGAACAUGGUGACAAAUGGUCGGCCUAAUAGCUGCUCUUAAACUCAGAAGAUAGGAAAGAUAAGACCUACAGAGCAAAACCGUGCUCCAUCAAAUUUCGGCUUUCCCCAUUCACACCCUUCUAUAAAGGACUUGAAUGAACACGGCAGGAGCCAGUGAUAGCUGCGUUCCUGUGACGUGCAUUGUAAGAUUGUAUCAUAACAUUGAAUUAGGUAACAACACUUACGGCCAGCCUUAGUACUGUAACCUAAAGGCAGAGGGCCACACGCAGAGAAAAUCAAAGGGCCGAGGGCGGCAGAAUUAGUACUGCAACCUUGUGGCCGAGGGCUCUGCACACAGCAGCAGAAGCAGCACUAUGAAGCCACAAUGGCAGCAUAAAUGUGAUCACCCUCCAUACAUACAGCAACUCAUAAAAGCAGCUGCAUUUGGAAAAACACAUUCAUAGAGCAUUACCAGAUUAGGCCUAAUAUGGUCAAGGCUCCCAAGCAGAGCAGCCCCGUAUCCAGCAAAAUUGGAUGAUAACUAGCAGGUCAAAGUACACUAGGCACCACAGAAGAUUAUCAAUCCCUAUCCUGUUAUGACAUUGCCAUUGCAAAAAUUCCUAAGGAUGAGACAACUACACCCAAAUGAAACUGCUCAAAUAUAAUGGAUCACAUAUUAUGAACUACGAAAUCACACGCAAACAAGCUUCACUUAUGAGGUUUACGCCCUAAAGAGGGAGUAAAACACGAGCACAAAAAACAAAACAUCAGCAAUACACAAGUAUACCAUCUAACAUCUCGUUAACGUCAUCUUAGCUGCAGUACACAAAUAUACACGAACACCAUCCAGACAACCAAGCCAUAUAUCAAAGCAUACUUUCUCAUACAUCCUAUAUAUUGACAUAACACUAGAAACGCCAAACCAACGCCGCACGUUCUACUACCACUAUCGAUCCAGAGAUAGGAAGUAAAACCGCAUGAAACCAAACAAAAUGGCUCAACAAACCUAUAAAAGGCAACCGAGACAAGAAGAACAGAGGGUGAGAGAGAGUUACCACAACCUCUCCAAUUUUCCCUCUGUGACAGCAGCUGCCUCUGAAAAUACCUGUAGUGCUUUUUUAUGCAAACCUAAAGUUCAAGCAUAUUUACUUAUAUACUUCUUUCAGGAGCCAAAUCUCAACCUCACAAAGCUUACAUCACUAGAAAAUACUUGAAAAGCCGCAAGAACAAACUAGAAACAGCCAGCUAAUGCAUGAAGCUUUUUGUUUAGAAGCACUUUCUGUGGACGAUUGCAGGGCCAGAUUCAUCGUACUCAGCCUUUGAGAUCCACAUCUGUCAUACAAAGGUACCGUCGUUAGAAAAAGGUGGUUAAGGGACACCAAAGAGAUGAAAGAUACUGUUGUACAAAGAAAAUGAUUUAUGCAAAAGAGCAAAAAUUUGGUUAAGGGACACCAAAGAGAGGAAUUUACUCCCCAUCUUAGUACUCUAUGAAUGCACCAAAAAGUUCACUCAAAAAGCUAUUGAAAUCAAAUCAGUUAGUCCAGAAUACACACAAAAACUAUAACUAAAACCUUGAAUUUCAUAGAACGGUACUUUUCUUAUCAUAGAUGGUAAUUUCAUCUAAGAGGGAUUUCUCGUACUCACAUAACUCGAAGUGCAGAAAAGAAAGUUCGAUAUUUGACGACGGGGUGGAAGGUAUGUAAGAUUGAGCAUUUACCUGUUGGAACGUGCUGAGAGAAGCAAGAAUAGAACCACCAAUCCAGACACUGUAUUUCCUCUCGGGAGGUGCGACCACCUUAAUCUUCAUGCUGCUGGGCGCAAGUGCCGUGAUCUCCUUGCUCAUCCGAUCAGCAAUACCAGGGAACAUGGUCGAUCCUCCACUAAGCACAAUAUUCCCAUACAGAUCCUUCCUGAUAUCGACAUCGCACUUCAUGAUAGAAUUGUACGUGGUCUCAUGAAUUCCUGCUGCUUCCAUACCAAUUAAAGAAGGCUGGAAAAGCACUUCGGGGCACCUGAACCUCUCAGAUCCUACAACCAGGGGGAGAGCCAAAUUUUUUGUUAUUAGUGGUGGCCAUUGAUUUCAGAGAUAAGCAUUAGUAAUCAAAUCUGAUAAAUUGAGAAAAUCUUCAAGUAGUAUGCGUAUCAUAUUUGUCCAUUUCAUGUGCUUGUAAAGAACCUAAGAGACUUCUGAGGACAAAGGAUUUUCAAAUCUGAUAAGAACUAGAGAAACUGUGUUGAAAGCGGGGGACAUAUCAACAUCAAUAUUUUGAAUAACAAGGAACUGCGUAAUAAAUUUUGGGUAAAAUGCAGAUUACUUCCAAGAUAUAUCACAAGACACUUCAACAACCUCGUGCAAUCAAAACAUCCGAACAAUUCACUUUGGUUUAUUAGAAAAUCCGGUGCUUUAGUCCUUAUACAGUGGAUAAAACGUUAAGAGAUUUAUAAAUCUAGGGCAUUACUGGAUGGUUUUGAUUAUCGAAGGGGGUGAAGCGCAAACUACAAUAUAUUGAGCAGAUGAUGGCAUUUUACCCUUUUUUUUUUAAAUGUAUCAAGGUCAAUGUUGCAUGAUCCUACAGUAAAUUUCUGGAUUCAAGAUCAGAGUUGCUGGAUCCUUUAAUAAAUUUCUGGUUUCUAGGAGAGCUCCAUUCAUACCUAUAGUGAUGACCUGGCCAUCAGGUAAUUCAUAAGUUUUUUCAACUGAAGAACUGCUCUUAGCAGUCUCCAACUCCUGCUCAAAAUCUAAGGCAACGUAGGCUAGCUUCUCCUUCAUGUCUCUGACAAUUUCCCGCUCAGCAGUGGUGGUGAAGGAGUAGCCUCUCUCAGUGAGGAUCUUCAUCAAGAAGUCGGUGAGGUCACGUCCGGCAAGGUCGAGCCGAAGAAUAGCGUGGGGGAGGGCAUAUCCCUCGUAUAUCGGGACGGUGUGGGUCACACCAUCACCAGAAUCAAGCACGAUACCUGUACAAAAUUGAUUUAGAGUUAUUACCAAUUCACAAGUUUUGAUUAAGAACUUAGGGCUAAUGCACAUCUGUUAUAGCAAUCAAUUCUAACAGAAAAUUAGACAAGCAUAAAUUCCCGAAGCUUUUCUAUAGUCAAGAACUAAAAUUUUAUACCCCAAAAGCAGAAGGUCCAAUUUGGAGCUUCUAUAUUCGCUGCAGAGAAGCUAUUGAGGGAAGCUGUUUUCAGUGAGUCUCCUAAGAGCACUACUCAAGCCAGCCUUCCCGCUCAGAGUUUCAAUGUUCACAACUUAACCCAUGAAGUUCAUCCCAUAUAGCAAUCAAGUCUUUCCGUCAAUCUAUCAUCCAAAAGACCAUCACACUAAUAACGUGGUUGGAUUUCAAUGCUAAAACAGCAUAAAAAACUCAGAUUUUUUUUUAUGGAAACUAGCAAAAGGGCGUAAUUGGGAUACAAGAUAAGCUUCAGGAAUUACAUUGCUGAAAUAGAAUACAGACAGAAGUUUAAUCAGGUACAGACUUCAAGGACUAUUUGAAAGGCAACAAUUUCGAGAGAGCAUUCAUUUACUAAAGCACACUUUGUAGUGAGUAUGUAAACUUUACAAACAUAAAUUUCACAAACCCAUCAUUAUUUUCUGUUUCCAAAGUCCCCUCGAGUAUUAUUAUAAUUUAAUGGUUUCCAUCAAAAGUCACAGAAUAUACCAUCAAGUGAGAAAAUAUUUCUAAAUAGUUAGGAAUACUGCUAACUACUGAUAGAUAGGAACUGACUCGAAUAUAAAGCUCUUCGUUUUUGCCAAUUUGUAGUUGAACAAGAAAAUUAUAUUUGCUCAGCAAUUCAAUACAUACCAGUAGUACGGCCACUGGCAUAGAGGGAAAGGACGGCCUGGAUAGCAACGUACAUUGCAGGCACAUUGAACGUCUCAAACAUGAUCUGGGUCAUCUUCUCCCUAUUCGCCUUUGGGUUGAGAGGAGCUUCAGUCAGCAGUAUAGGAUGUUCCUCAGGAGCAACACGGAGCUCAUUGUAGAAGGUAUGGUGCCAGAUCUUCUCCAUGUCAUCCCAGUUGGUGACAAUACCGUGCUCAAUUGGAUACUUCAAGGUGAGAAUACCUCUCUUGGAUUGAGCUUCAUCACCCACAUAGGCAUCCUUCUGGCCCAUACCAACCAUAACACCAGUAUGCCGGGGCCGGCCAACAAUGCUGGGAAACACUGCCCUAGGUGCAUCAUCACCAGCAAAUCCAGCCUGCGAGAAUGAAUGGAGAGUAAUUCAGGAUGCAAAAUGUAGAAAUACAGAACAAUCCUUUUUCCCCCUUGUUUUUUUUUAUUUGAAGAAAAACUGAGGCUGUCUGGAUGAUAUGUCAACCUUCACCAUUCCAGUUCCAUUGUCACAGACGAGUGGCUGAAUAUCCUCAGCAUCAGCCAUUUUUUAUGUUUCUGUCAUAUGAAUAGAAAGACAAACGAGAAGAAAGACAAACAUAUUAUAAUCAAGUAAACCAACUUUACUGCUAUGUUGAGAAAAUGCAUUUCAAACAUAUUCAUCAUACCCAGCAGGAAAGGAUGAGAAUCACAUCAGUAUCUGAUAAUCAAAUUUAUUUAUUCCGACUAAUAGCAGGGUAUCUCUCUAUAUGAUUUCCAGAUUCAUUAUUAUCCUCGAUUUUCAGCCACAGAAAUCAAUUGCCAACCAUACCUUCCCUCUCAAAAUAAAUGAAAUAAUACUAGAUAAUUUUGCAUGAUGUGAGACACGAACUUUUUUCAAGGAAUACUGAAUGCUUGACAAUCUAUCUUUAACAAAAUUACAGUUAUUGGCCUAUUUCAAGUAGCAAGAAAGACACUAACAACAGUUAAACUUUCAGUAAGAACUAGAAGUGAACAGAUGUGUUAAGAUGCAAGAAAUUUUUACGAGGCCUACUGCAUAGCUAAAUGAACUUAAUAGCUUAAGUGACAAAAUCAUAUAAUAUUUGCACACGAACUAACAAAAUUCAGAAGGGAAAAAAAAAACAUGAUAUCAUAAACUGAUCAAUCUUCUAGAGGUGCUUCAUACUAAGAAAUUCACAAAUGCAGGUAGUUUGAGCAAGUAAAGAAAGGGAAUUAAAAAGAUCCAAAUGGGACCAACUAACAAAAUAGCAAGAGAACACAGCAUGUAAAGGACAAGACUAGCAAAUAGCAAUCCUUGAAGACCUUCAAAGCAAAUCCAGAAAGACCAUCAUUAAUAUCCCAGAUAUAAUUGCCGUACAUGUUUCGGGCAAAUAAUUGUAAAUUCCCUUCUACAGCUCACAAGCAUAGUAAUAAUUAUUUGAGAUCAAAGAAAGAUCACAGAUGAUAAUCGAGCUCGGAAAGUUCUCACCUGAACUAAUAUAAAUCAAAUCUCAGACAACUUUAUCCAAUAAAACUCUACCCCACAGAAUAAUCUACAAAUCAAAACUAGAAGAUCAAAGAUGACAAUCAAACUCAUUAGAUUUUGAGCCAAACAAUAUGCAUCAAAUUUUAUAACAACUUUAGCUACAAAAACCCCAAACAACACGCACCAAUCUACUAAUUAAACCUGAAUAUCACAGAUCACAAUUAAACUCAGCAGAUUUUGAGCUGAAAUAUAGAUCAAUUUUUUUCAGAACUUAACAGAUUGAUUGAUCAAAAGUGGAAGAUCAUAAAUGAUGACCACACACCGAAGAUUUUUUAUCCAAAAUAAAUAAAUCAAAUUCUAUAGCAACUUCAUCUUACUUUCAAAUAAAUAUAUACUGACAUCAUCUUCUAAAACCCUAACCUCCUGCACCGAUCUACUCAUCAAAACUUGAAGAUCAUGGAUGAUGAUCAAACUAAGAAGAUUUUGAGCAAACCUUAAUUCAAUAACAACUUUUAAAAUGCUAUAACCCUAGCCUCACACACCGAUCUACUAGUAAAAACUAAAAGAUCACAAAUAAUCAAAUUCUAUGACAACUUUACGGACUAAAACCCUAAACUUCGCGCACCGAUCUUUAAUUAUCAAACUCAGAAUAUUUUGAUCCAAACAAUAUAAAUCAAAUUCUAUAACAAGCUUUACCUCCUAAAACCCUAAACCCCACGCGCCGAUCAACCAAUCAAAACUAAAAGAUCACACAAAAUGAUCAAACUAGCAAGAUUUUGACCCAAACUAUGCAAGUCAAAUUCUUCAACAACUUUAUCUACUAAAACCCUAACCUCGCGCACCGAUCUAUUAAUCAACUAAUAAAAACUUCAAAAUCUAUGCAUCUACUCAGAAUUAAGACCAUUUUUUAGCAAAAAUCAACACAUCGGAUGAUUCAGAGAUCGGCUAAAGAAAGUGCUUCGCCGAUACCGCUGUAGAGAAGACGAGAUCAGAGAUGAAUCGCCUCCGCUUCCUCCGCUCGUCGAAGCCAAGAGAAAGAACGAGAAGAGGAGAGAGAGAGAGAGAGAGAGAGAGAGAGAGAGAGCGUGUAAAGGGCAAUGGUGUCGUGCUCUUAAAUAGUAGGCGUACUAAAUUCCAACUCUAGGCAUACUUUUCGUAGGUCAAAAUGUAGUGAGACUCCUCAACUACAUCAUAUUUUGAAAUCCGUACCUCAACUUCAUUUUUUUGUUAACAAAGAAUUAGUUUGGUAUUGAGAUGAAUCUAACGCUAUUAGGUAGAAUGGAGUUGAAAAAAAAUAUAAAGGAAUAUACUUCUACGUUCUUCGAUGAGACUGUAGAAAAUAUAUCGUAACCGACUAACCGCAAUAUGCUGAACGCAGUAUCACGUAGGAAACAAACAUGGUAUUUUCUCAUCGUCUUUUCUCAACGCAUAUAAUGCAACCUUCCCGUAAUCCCAAACAAAGCCAAAAUAAUACGUUAAUUAAACCGUCUUAAAUUUGUCUCAAUCGAUCACUCGAAAUUAUUCAAAUUUUGAAAUAUAAAUUUUAUUUUUUUCAUUAUUAACAAAAAAAAUAAAAAGAAACUAAAAUUACUGUUGUAAAAUAUAAUAUUUAUAAAUAAGUCAUAAAAAUUAAAAAUUUAUAUGACCUUUUUAAAGAAUUUUUAGAGGUUUACAUAACUAAAUAUAAUCAGAGCAAAGCUAAAUAUAAUACUUAAUAACUAGGGUGGAUUUGAUAACUUUUUUUUUGACAUUGAAUGAACUUUCUUUUUUUAGUACAAUGCAUCCAAACUGAAUUAUUAUUAUUUUUCAACAGACAAAUUUGUUACUAUUAAAUAGAAUUAUCAAUUUAAAAAAAUUAAAUUAAGUAAAAAAAAUAAAAAUUAGUCAAUUAAACAUUGCGAAGUUAAGGAUUCAAUUCUGCAAAUAGCAUUUUCUACUGCUUCCUACGUAUAAAUCCACGCCGAGACGAGUCAUCUAGCAAUUAGGCACGUGGCAUGAAACAGUUGGGCCCGCGUCACACGUGUCAUGUUUCUGUGGUUCGUGAAGGGUGUUUCGUGUUCUAGAACGAGUAUGUACGUAAACUUACCGUGAGAAGGAAUCGUCUCGUAUCACGAGGGAGGGAAAGAAAAAAAAAAAAAAACAAAAAAGUUGAAGUGGGGGCCAGCAGAGUGACCUGGGUGGGUCCUCCUACGUGGAAUCUGGACCGUAGGAUGGGAUUUGGACGGUGGGUCAAACGGCGGGCGAAACUUUCGGCGGUUGCGGGGGGCCGGGGGGCGGUGUUGCCACGUCAUCAGGUGGCGUGACGCGGACGUGCGGGAGUCCGCAUAGGGGUAGAGAAGGGGCGCGGCCGCACGCCAACCAACAACAGCUGGCGACCAUUAGAGCGAGCACGAGCUUAGGAGACAAUUUGGGAGUAAUUGUGAUAUUUUUGAAGGGAUCAUCUGAAAAAUGCUAUCUUUGCAAGUUACAACCAACUCAUCUAAUGGGUGGGAGUGAAUCACUAGUCACAUUACAUGACUACUAAAAUCAUCUCAUCCAUUAAAUGAGUGGUAUAUAACUCAUUUUUCAAUAUUAGAGAAACAUAUGUAGAAUUUGGUUAUUUUGUAGUAUUAAUAGUAUCAAGCGUUUUCUGUUAUUGGGUUUCGGCCUUUGGAUAAAAAAAUACGCAAUUUGAAUGAUAAUGAUUUUCUAGGAUUGAGUGGGUGGUUAGUUGAAUAGUAUGAUAUGACGGGUGAAAAUUGUCAAAAGAAUAGAUUUGACGACGAAAAACCCGAUAGCACCAAGUCAUUGGUACUAGCGAUAGUAUAGCAGUCGAACUCAACAUAUGUAUAUUAGGGUUAAUUUCGUACAGGUCUCUAUAAAUAUAGUGAAUUGUAAAUAUAUUCUUACAAAAUUUAAUUUCCAUAUAUUGUCCCUGCAAAAGCCCUGAUGUUUUCAAAUAUAUCCCUGCCGUUAGGAUUCCUUAGAAAAAAUUAAUUAAUUAUAGGUAAAAUACUUAACCCUAGUUAGUUAAUGAGAUGAAUUGACCUUUUUACCCUUCUUUAAUUAAUAGUUGGAACUUUUGGAUGGACAUAUUUAUGAUGCCAAAAGGGUCAUUUCGCUUACAGCAUUUUAAUGAAAACAAACCAAAAUAACAUAUUUUAACACAUUAGGAAGUUUAGAGUGAUAACAUAUAAAAGUUGAAAUUUAUAGGGAUGUAUUUGUAAUUCACUAUAUUUGUAGAGACCUGUAUAAAAUUAACCUUAUAUAUUAUUAUAGAGAAAUAUUUUGCCAGGAUUAAAGGCUUACUUGUUAUUUUUCUAUUAAAACUUAGUUUAGUAUUAAGGUUUAUCUAGCAACGCUAUUGAAUAAAAUAGAGUUGGGGUAAAAACAUACAGUGAUAUGAUUCUGCGUUCUCCGAUGGGACUGCAAAAAAUAUAUCGUAACCGACUUAUCGCGAUAUGCGGAAUGCAAUAUUACAUACGGAAAACAAAUAUAAUAUUUUUUAUCGUACUUUCUCACCGCACGUAACGUAAUCUCCCCGCAAUUUCAAACGAAGUCUAAUUCUCUUGGUUACUAUAACUAUUGUUAAUGAAAUGACAGAGCUUCGCUGCAGAAAUUUUUUUUUGAUAGUAGAUUAUUACAUUAUAAUUAUGAGAUAUCUUAAUGUAUACAUUUUAAUAAAUUUUUAUAUUUAAUUAUUUUUCAGCAUUAUUUCUUUAGCUUAUUUUUUAAUUCAAUCAUAUAAUAAAAUUAUUAUGUAUACUAAAUAUAUAUAUAAUUAUUUAAAAAUCAAUUUGAAUCAGCCCGCUCGACUAGACCGAAUGUGGCCCAGUCUAUUUAGCGGUUUUAAUAUUAGACGUAACCCACCUCACAAAUAUAUACUAUAAAUUAAUAUUAAUAUACUCUUCAUUCUAAAAUAAAAGUAUUAAAAUAUUAGAAAUCUUAAUUGGAUGGAUAAAUUUUCUUCGUCGUGACAUUUGAGAGUUUUUUUUUCUUUAUUAGAGUAGGCCAAUUUGCAUAAAAAAUCCACUUAUUUUGGACUUUUGCAAAAUUGGGCCAUCUUUUUCGUUUUUUCAGAUUCGGUCCACUUUUUCAGCAAACUGACCAAAAUACCCUUUUUACUUUUUCUCUUUCCUCUUUCUCUCUCCUCUUCGUUUCUCUCGUUCUUUUUUUUUCUCGCCGGCAGAGCGGAGGCGGAAACGGUCCGUCUCGCCUCUCACCCUCAUUCUCUAGCCCUCGNGCUCUCUAAAUGUUAAAAAAUUGAAGUUAAGGGGGUCUAUUUCAAAAUGACCUAUAGGUGAAGGGUUUCCACUUAUUUUAUCCACCAAUAAUUAGUGUUAGAAAUUAGAAGGGUAUUCAUGAAAUUACUCCUCUAUUAUUUGUUAUCAAAGUAACAACCCAACCAACUUUUUAAGGGGUAAAUUAGUCAUUUUAUAACUUUACCCUAACGUCAGUUAGAAUAAAAGGUAAUUGUGAUAAUUUUCUACAUUUGGAGGGGUAUAUAUGAUAUUUUUAAUUUUAUAGGGGUAUUUGCGAUAUUUACAUGUUUAAGAGGGCUAGUGAUGAAAUUGACCCUAUUAUUAAUGUGUUAGUAUGCACAUAUGAAAUGAUAAAGAUUUAAGAUUUAGAAUUUUACUAUAUGAUGAUGAUAAUUAGGAUUUAAAUUUUAAAUAUUUACAAUAUAAUGAUGAUAUUUGAUAUUUAAAAUUUGAGAAUUACAUUUUAAUAUUUAAAAUUUAACACUUAGAAUUUAAAAAUUAAAAUUCAAAAUAAAAAAUUGAAAUUUAAAAAUUUAAAUUUUGUAUUCUAAAAAUUUAAAUUCUGUAAUUUGAAUAUUAAGAUGUAUAAUUUUUUAUUUUAAAAUUUUAAACUUUGGAGUGUUAAAAUUUUAAAAUAAGAAUUUUAAAUUUUAAAUUUUCAGAAUUUAAAUUAUUCAAUUUUGAAUUUUAAUUUUUAAAUUUUGUAUUCUAAAAAUUUAAUUUUGUAAUUUGAAUAUUAAGAUGUAUAAUUUUUUAUUUUAAAAUUUUAAACUUUUGAGUGUUCAAAUUUUAAAAUAAAAAUUUUAAAUUUUCAAAUUUCAAAUUUUAAAUUUAAUAUUGAAUUUUAAGGCUACAAUUUAAAAUUUUGAACUUCAAAAUUUAAAAUUGAGUCCUAAAAUUUUAAAAUUUAAAAUUUAAAAUUUAAAAGUAUAAGUUUUUAGAGACCAUAUAUUAUACUGUACAAAUAAUAAAAUAAUUAAACUCUUAGAAAAUAUUUUGCAAAAAAAAUAUAGGAAAAAAAUCUAAAAAACACCAAAAAAAAAAAAAUUGCUGAUUAAAUUCAUUAGAAAAUAUUUUGCAAAAUUUCAUCAUCAUUAUAUUAUAAAUUCUAAAUCUUAAAUCUGUAUCAUUCCACAUAUGUAUGCCCACACAUCAAUAAUAUAUUAGAAACUGUAAAGUGGGGGAUCGAAAAGUUUUUUUUAAGAAAACUUGAUUGUAGUGCCUCUAAUAAAGAAAAAAAAAAAUGAAAUGUCGCAAUUACCUACGUAACUGUGAGAUCCCAUAUAGUUCUAUAUAUCUGAUAUAAUAGGGCUAAACUAUCAACCCGACUUAAAAUAUUUUGGGUGGUGGCUAGAUCCAAGAGGUUGAGAAAGUUAUGUGUGUUAGAACGAGAUAGUCCUAGAAUGGAUGACCUCUUAGGAAGUUGGUGCGUCAUAGUUGGUAUCAGAGCCAAUUACCAGCCGCGGAAAGAGUGUGAGAUGAGUCUCAGCUGGGUCAGGUUAUACAGCGGGGAGAGUGAGACUAUCAUGCUGUUGACUGUUGUAUGUGGAGCUUGGUUCACCACAAGGUCGGUUUAGGCUAGCGAGAUGAGUCUCACAUCACCUGAUACUUGUGAGUUUGAGUUUAAUGAAGAUGUUAGGGCUUAAGGGGGGAGAAUGUGAGAUACCACAAAGUUAGGUUAAGUUAGCGAGAUGAGUCUCAUAUCGUUUGAUAUUUGUGAGUUUGAGCAUGAUGAAGACGUCAGGGCUUAGGGGGGAAAAUGUGAGAGACUCCGGAUAGUCCUAUAUAUGAGAUAUAAUAGGACUAAGUUCUCAAGCUGGCUUAAGCAUUUUGGGUGAUGGCUAAGUUCAAGAGGUUGAGAGAGUUAAGCCUAAUACUUGUGAGUUUCAGCUUGACGAAGACGUCAGGACUUAAGGGGAGAGAAUGUGAGAUCCCGGAUAGUCCUAUGUAUGAGAUAUAAUAGGACUGAACUCUCAACUCGAUUUAAGUAUUUUGGCCGGUGGCUUGGCUUGAGAGAGUUUGGCUUGAUACUUGUGAGUUUGAGCUUGACAAAGACGUCAGGACCUAAGGAGGGAGAAUGUGAGACCCCGGAUAGUUCUAUAUAUGAGAUAUAAUAGAACUAAACUCUCAACCCGACUUAAUCUCCAAAAGAGCGUGGUUUCAAAUUCCACUCUCAAGAAACCUUUUUUUUACUUAUUUAUUUUGCACAAUAUUUUGUUUUUUGUGGUUUUUCUAGAAUUUUUCUUCCACAUUUAUUCUGCAAAUUAUUUGUUAAUAGUUUAAUUAGCAUUUAAUUUUUUUUAUACAUUUAGUUUUUAAAAUAUUUUAAAUUUUAUAUCUUAAAUUUUAUAUUUUAAAUUCUUAUUUUAAUUUUAGGUUUAAAUUUUAAAUUUAAAUUCAAAUAUUAAUUUUAACUAUUAAAUUUUAUUUCUGAAUUUUAAAGUUUCAAAAUUUACUUUUAAAUUCUAAAAUUUAAAAUUUAGAUAUUAAAUUUUAAAUUUCAAAUUUUAAUAUUAAAUUUAAAAUCUCAAAUUUUAAAUUUUUAACUUAAAAUUCAGGAAAAAUUUAAAUUUUAAAAUUUUAAAAUUUUAAAACUAAAAAGUUUAAAAUUAUAAAUCUUAAUUUUUAAAUUACAAAUUUUAAAUUUUUAAAAUUCAAAUUUUAAAUUCUUAAAUUUUAAUUUUGAAUUUUAAAUUUUAAAUUUUAAAUUUUAAGUAUUAAAUUUUUAAUAUUAAAAUUUUAAAUUUCAAAUGUUAAAUAUUAAAUAUUAAAUUUUAAAUUUUAAAUUUUGAAUUUUGAAAUUUAAAGUUUGAAAUUUAAAUUUUAAAUUUUAAAAUUUAAAGUUUAAAAUUUAAAUUUUAAAUUCUAAAUUUUAUAUUUUAAAUUUUAUAUUUCAAAUUUUAAUUUAAAUAUUAAAAAUUUAAAUUUAGAUUUAAAAUUUAAAAAAAAAAAGUGUGUGGGCUCACCUAGGAAUCCAUCUCUUGGAAAUGACUUUCAUAAACAGCUUACAUCACUUGUGCUUUCCUUGGGUGUCGGGCAGUCAGUAAAAAAUGAAAACGGAAAAAGAUUUCAUUGCCAUCAACUCCCAAUUCAACAGGAUAUCGUUUUUAUCUUGUUUUCUUGAACAAUGCCUUUGACGCCAAGGAGAAUGAUACGCACGCAACCAAAUCCAUCUGACGAUACGCAACUAGGGCUGGAACUGGGUCGGACUUCGGAUCGGGGUUUAUCCAAUUUUUUUAAAAAAAUUAAGUUUAAAAAGGCCCGGCCUAGACGCAAGGCCAAUGCCUAAUACCCAUUGGGCUUUGUGACGGCCCACUGUAUGUAUUCGUCACAUAGUAUAAAUAUAGUUUUAUUGUAUAAAAUUAAAACAAAAUAAGAUAUUCUCAUAUUAGUAAAUAAUAAAUAUUAUAUAUAAUGUUAAGUUCUAUGUAUAUAACUAUGUAAAGUAAUGUAGUAUCCUUGGUAUUCUGCAGCCGUGAGAUUUCUGCAUCUGAGGCUGGUCGACACAUCUGGAGAGUGUCGGAACAAAUCCGAGUCGUUUUGACAUGAAAUAGACGCAAAACGGAGUUAGUGUGACGCGGGAGCAGUAUUUAAGCACUGAAAUUUGCAAAUUACAAGUUGUCAGCAUUGAGUACCGGUACCACACAGGGGAGUAUCGAUAUCCCAGUAUAUAUUUUCCGACUGUUGCUCUCGGGUUGCGAUGGCAGAUGCAAGGUACCGGUACGGCAUCGGCCUGGUACCGGUACUCCAGGGUAGGUGAGGGGCUUUUUGGUCAAUUGCUGCCUCGUUGUUAUCAACUCUUUUCCACCGCUUUAUAUAUGUAUAGAGAGGCAGAGAGUGAGGUUUUGUUGCCUAUUUCCUUUUCUCUCUCUAGGUUGGGUGGUGAGCACGGUGGAGGCCUCGGGUAGAGCUCGGAUCGACGUCGACGUUGCGCCGGGGAGUCGUUCGAGCGUACGUGCGUCGUAGUUGCAUCGUUGGGAAGCCGGGCGAGCGCGUGGUUCCUCUCCUAUCGACUUCUCGCCGGAGUUGGAUUAGUUUUCAAGAUGGGUUGAUGUUUAUCGAAAUCGUCGGAUUUCCUCCUAAGCCGGAGUUGACAGCAUGUGUUUUUGAUUUCGUAUAUCAUGUUUAGUAGCUCGAUUCGUCGAUUUGCAUUGCUUUUAAAUGAAAUCUGAAUUGAAGCUUUAAAUGCUAGUUCUAUUAUAUAUGUUGGACUUGAACUUGACUUAGGAGAAAACUAUAGGUUCUACACUGUCAUUUUCUGAAAACUAAUAGAUUUAGCUUUAUGAGCUGUAGUUAGUUUGUAUCGCCGCAGUUUGUACGCGGUGGAUAUACAGAAUAGUGUAGAAUGAAAUUACGCUCGUGCUCGGAUAUCGAGUUUAUUUUUACAGUAGUGUAUAGACUGUUCCGCACUGUCGGGUGCCGUCGCGGUUGACGGUGGAUCCAGAUUUCUAUAUUUUUCAUCAGAUUGUGCCAAAGGCACUUGAGUUGUGGUUGUUAGACCAGUUAGACCCUUUUGCUUUGACUAUAGCCUAUGAGAGUCUGAUUGAGUUCGGCAGAGAUACGCUUGCAUACUCGGUUGGGUAGCGCCCACGAGUGCCACUCCGGAGUCGGAUUUUGUGCUUUUGCGUUGUUGUCGUUGUGUCCUGGUUGGACUCGCUCUCCACUAACAACCCAGCGUGGUGGUAGUUAGUAUAGUUUCGACAGGCGGGACGAGUAUGUUCAAAGUCCCUAGUGAGAUUGGGUCAGAGAUUGCAUAUUUUUCUACAAAUAGUUAGUGUCGGAUCGUGAUAGUAUAAGGGCAUAUAGCUGUAGAGUUUUUCAGCUUUCUUUACUAUUCUUGAGCAUACUUCUGUAGACUUAGUGAGUGAGCCAUUGAGGUCGGUAGCGGUACCCACUGAGGACUAUUUUUUUUUUUUGCAGUAGUUCUCACACCCAGUUGUUGACCCCUUUUUGCAGAGCCUUCUUCUUCGGCUGCUGCUGUUGCUGAUUCCGAUCGUAGAAAGAAAGUCGCGAGCUAGAUCCCUUACAAUUUUAUUGCUGCUUUAGAGGAGUACCAGCUUCAAGUAGUUUUGGUUUUUUGGGUCAUGUACAUACUGAUGUUUGAUCCUCACUGGAGCGAGUGAUGUUGUAUCUAGAGACUGUGUAUGUAUAGUGAAGCCGAUGUUUAUUUAUAUAUGUUUACCAUUCUGUUAGCAGCUCUAUACUACUAGUUGUAGUUUUGUAUGAUUACAGGUACAGGUACAGCUGUCGCUUCGUAUAUAGGAAAAAUUUCUUUGUAUACUGCAGAUUUGUCGGCGUGCCCGAAAAAACGAGAAUCCGGGGCGUAACAGAUUAAGUUGGUAUCAGAGCUUAGUAUUAGGUCGUUGGGAUCUAGAAAACUUUAAGCUUGGCAAACCUUAGGAAGGCAAGAUGCGAGAGGCGUGAUUUAUUGUGAAAGUCAGCGAUUGAAUUAUUUUUAACUUCUCCUAGAGUGAAGUGAGUGAUUGUAGGAGUGUCUGUUUCGGCCAAGAAAAUUAUGUCAACUGCAGGGGUGGCCUUCUAGACUUUCGUUUGAUUGAGUCGAGAGUGCUUGUGUUUUGUAUCUGACCAUUGUUUUGUUUUCAUGCAGUUAUGUAUCAACGUCGAGGUCGACCGCCGACCCGGGAUCGUGCCGCACCACCUAAGAAGCCGGAGCAGGCAGGGCCGAGUGCACCCCCAGAUCUAAGAGAGCAGUUAGUUGCCCUGACUGAGGUGACGAGGCAGCAGGGGGCAUUGUUGUAGAGGAUGUGCAAGACAUUAGCUCCGUCUUAGAGCACAGCACUGAGAGUACCAGAGCAGUCAGCUCCACCCCCGACUAUUCCAGUGUCCGCACCAACGGCAGCAGUACCCCCACCAGUGACAGUUCCCACGGCGCCGGUUACAUCUUCUGGAGAUGCGUCACAGAUGUCGGAGGCUGAGCAAGCUUUGUAGGUGGAGAGAGGUGAUGUAUCGACCCGCGAGCGGGCACAGGCUCAGCUGCCGAGGCAAAGUCAAGAUAGGAAGCGCCCGGUUCUAGAUGACGGAGGACAGUCGAGCAGCAGACGUUCGCCGAGACCUCCACGAUCACGCUUUUGGGGUCGUGGGUCUUCGGGAUGUUAGCGUUAUGGGGGACCUCGUCAGCAGAGGCAACCACAGGGUAUUCCGCAGUGUGUGAUUUAUGGGGGGCCACACUGGCCUCGACAGUGUACGCAGAGAGAGGGCCAGUGUUAUGGAUGUGGAAGCCUGGACAUUUGAGGGCAGCUUGUCCUCGAGCAGCAUCCCCAGCACCAUCGACGGCAUCAGCACAGUCGGCACCUAAGCAGUCUUACGGAGCGGCACCGAGUUACCGCCAGGUGGAUAGAGCGUCUGUGCCGCGACAGGGUGAGCGGCGACAGCAGGCCCCAAGUGGCAGGGUUUAUACAGCCCAGGUGGAGGACUCUACAACAGUCGACCGGGUGGUGGCAUGUAUUAUUUUGAUUUCUGGUAUUCGAGCUCGUACCCUUUUUGAUACCGGUGCAUCACAUUCUUUUGUUAGCCGAGCAUUUGUAUUGUUGCACUAUCUAGAGAUAGGGCUAUUGUUGCAUACAUGAGAGGUGCAUAUCCCCGACCAUAUUUUACAGGUAGUAGAGUGUUGUUGGUCGUGUCCUGUGCAGUUGGACUCGUGGAUUAUGCCCGCAGACCUGUUGGUCUUAGGGCAGCUGCAGGAUUUUGAUAUUGUGCUUCAGAUGGAUUGGCUAGCUCGGUACUAUGCUACGAUCGAUUGUGGAGCGAGGAUAGUGAUGUUCUGCAAGCCAGGCCAGGAUGAGUACACUUACAGAGGCUGCAGGAGUACGUUAUUUGCCACUUGAAUUUCGUCGGUGAGAGCUCGACAGUUGAUGAGUAGAGGAUGCAUCGCUUUUCUGGCGACGAUUGUGGAGGUGCCUACGGCGACGCCGGGACUCGAGGAUAUUCCUAUAGUCCGCGAGUUUCCCGAUGUUUUUCCUCCGGAGUUGACGACUAUGCCGCCGGAUAGAGAGAUUAAGUUUGUGAUUGAUGUAGUUCCUGGAACUGCACCAAUCUCGAAGACACCCUACUGAAUGGCACCGGCAGAGCUAAGAGGGCUAAAGGCGGAGCUUUAGGAUCUGAUGGAUAAGGGGUAUGUGAGACUCAGUGUAUCGCCUUGGGGAGCGCCGGUGUUACUUGUAAAGAAAAAGGAUGGUUCACUCCGGUUAUGUGUGGAUUAUUGAGAGCUGAAUAAAGUGACCAUCAAGAACAAGUAUUCUUUGCCGCGCAUAGAUGAUCUGUUUGAUCAGCUGCAAGGAUCUUGUGUCUUUUUGAAAAUUGAUCUCUAGUCAGGUUACCACCAGUUGAGGGUGAGUGCUGAGGAUGUUCCCAAGACGGCUUUUCGAACUUAAUACGGGCAUUAUGAGUUCACUGUGAUGUCUUUUGGAUUGACGAAUGCCUCUGCCACAUUUAUGGAUCUGAUGAAUAGAGUGUUUAAGCCGUACUUGGAUAGAUUUGUGGUUGUGUUCAUUGAUGAUAUCAUGAUAUACUCCCGAAGUGAUACAGAGCAUGAGGAGCACUUGAGGAUUGUACUACAAUUUCUGAGGGAGAAGAUACGCUAAGUUGAAGAAGUGCGAGUUUUGGCUUCGGGAGGUUUCUUUCUUGGGCCAUGUGAUUUCUGCAGUUGGAGUAGCAGUGGACCUGAAGAAGAUUGAUGCUAUUCGGGAUUGGCCCAGACCGACGAUGGUUACCGAGGUGAGGAGUUUCCUUGGAUUGGCAGGAUAUUACCGUCGGUUUGUGGAAGGCUUUACGAAGCUUUCCACACCCCUCACUCAAUUAACUCGAAUGGAAAUUAAGUUCAUCUGGAGUGAGGAUUGUCAGAGGAGCUUCGAUGAGUUGAGACAGAUGUUGAUGUCCGCUCCUAUCCUUGCCCUUUCGGUGAUGGGGGAAGGGUUUGUGAUUUAUAGUGAUACAUCGCACAAUGGUUUGGAUUGUGUGCUGAUGCAGCAUGGUACGGUAAUUGCUUAUACUUCCCGGCAAUUGAAGGAUUACGAGAAGAAUACCCUACGCAUGGCUUGGAGCUUGCCGUAGUGAUUUUUGCCUUGAAGUUGUGGCGGCAUUACUUGUAUGGCGAGCAUUGCAAGGUUUUCAUUGAUCAUAAAAAUCUCAAGUAUCUGUUCACCCAAAAGGAUUUGAACCUGAGGUAACGCCGAUGGUUGGAGUUGUUGAAGGACUAUGAUUUUAGUAUUCAGUAUCACCCCGGCAAGGCGAAUGUAGUGACAGAUGCGUUGAGCAGGAAGGUAGUGCAGAGCUUGAGCAUGUUGAUUACUCAGCAGAGGCCGUUACUUGAGGAGCUGCAGUGAUUGAGACUCGAGAUACUGUUUCCUGGGUCUACUGCAAGACUGAUGUCUUUGGUCUUACAGCCCACUCUAUUGGACAGGAUCAGGGAGAAACACAGUGGAGACUCUCAUUUGUUGAGGAUUCAAGAGCAGUUAGAGAGCAGACAGGCAGAGGCUUUUUCUGUGGACAGUUCGGGAGUACUACGGUACAGGGACCGGCUGUGUGUGCCUAUAUGGAUUCAGAGAUCCGAGAGAAGAUUUUGAGAGAGGCUCAUUACUCACCUUAUACGGUUCACCCCAGUGGAACCAAGAUGUAUAAGGACUUGAAGGCACACUUUUAGUGGAAUGGAAUGAAGAGCGACAUUGGCAAAUAUGUAGCUCAGUAUCUGGCUUGCAACAGGUAAAGGCAGAGCAUCAGGUACUUGCUGUCAAGCUUUAGAGUCUGCCAGUGUCCGAAUGGAAAUGGGAGCAGAUCACGUGGACUUUGUCGUGGCAUUACCUAGAGCACAGGGUGGUUUUGAUGCGAUUUGGGUGAUAGUAGACAGACUGACUAAGUCUACUCACUUCUUACCAGUACAGACCACCUGGUCAAGGAAGAGGCUCACUCAGUUAUAUCUGGAUGAGAUUGUUAAGCUGCAUGGUGUGCCUACUUCGAUAGUAUUGGACAGAGACCCAAGGUUUGUUUCGCAUUUUUGGAGGAAUCUUCAGAUAGCCUUGAGUACACAGUUAUAUUUCAGCACGGCGUUUCAUCCACAGACGGGAUGAUUAGUCAGAAUGGACAAUUCAGACUCUGGAGGACAUGCUGAGAGCAUGUGUCCUGGACUUUGGAGGAGGGUAGCAUCGACAUUUGAGAUUGGCUGAGUUUGCAUACAACAACAACUAUCAAACGAGCAUUCAAAUGGCUCCGUUUGAAGCGUUGUAUGGACGCAGAUGUCGAUCCCCUUUGCAUUAGAGUGAUGUUGGUGAAAGGAAGACUCUGGGGCCUGAGAUUCUGAUAAAGGCUGAUAAAAAGGUUAAAGUUGUACGACGACAUCUUUUGACAGCCCAGAGUCGACAGAGGAGCUAUGGCGAUACCAGGAGACGAGAUUUAGAGUUUCAGGUUGGAGAUCAUGUGUUUCUAAAAGUCUCGCCGUCCAGAGGGAUACGUAGAUUCGGAGUGCGUGGAAAGUUCAGUCCACGUUUUGUAGGCCCUUUUGAGGUUUUGGAGCGAGUCGGACCGGUUGCCUACAGGAUUGCUCUACCCCCACGACUGGCCUGUAUUCAUUAUGCCUUUCACGUCUCGGUGUUGAGAAGAUACGUGUUCGAACCCUCCCACGUGAUUGACUUUACUCCGCUGGAGCUUGGCGAGGAUUUGAGAUAUGAGGAGCGACCGACAUGAAUUCUUGCUUGGGAGACGAAAGAAUUGCGUAACCGGGUCAUUCCUUAUGUGAAAGUGCAGUCGAGUCAUCACGAGGAGCGUGAGGCAACCUGGGAGCCGGAGACGGUGAUGCGGGAGUCUACCCUUACUUGUUCGAUGCUCAGGAUUAAGGUAUGCGUUAAGUUUCGAUGGCGAAACUUUUUGUAGUGGGGGAGGAUGUAGUAUCCCUGGUGUUCUGCAGCCGUGAGAUUUCUGCAUCUGAGGUUGGUCGACACAUCUGGAGAGUGUCGGGUCAAGUCCGAGUAGUUUUGACGCGAAAUAGACACAAAAUGGACUCAGUGUGACGCGAGAGCAGUAUUUAAGCACCGAAAUCUGCAAAUUGCAGGUGUCAGCAUUGAGUACCGGUACCAUACAGAUGAGCACCGGUACCCCAGUAUAUAUUUUCCGACUGCUGCUCUCGGGUUGCGAUGGCAGAUGCGGGGUACCGGUACGACAUCGGCUUGAUAUCGAUACUCCAGGGUAGGUGAGGGGCUUUUUGGUCAAUUGCUGUCUCGUUGUUAUCAAUCCCUUUCCACCGCUUUAUAUAUGUAUAGAGAGGUAGAGAGUGAGGUUUUGUUGCCUAUUUCCUCUCUCUCUCUAGGUUGGGUGGUGAGCACGGUGGAGGCCUCGGGUAGAGCUCGGAUCGACGUUGACGUUGCGCCGGGGAGUCGUUCGAGCAUACGUCCGUCGUAGUUGCAUCGUUGGGAGGCUGGGCGAGCGCGUGGUUCCUCUCCUGUCGACUUCUCUCCGGAGUUGGAUUAGCUUUCAAGGUGGGUUUAUGUUUACCGAACUUGUCGGAUUUCCUCCUGAGCCGGAGUUGACAGCAUGUGUUUUUGGUUUCGUAUAUCAUGUUUAGUAGCUCGAUUCGUUGAUUUGCAUUGUUUUUAAAUGAAAUCUGAAUUGAAGCUUUAAAUUCUAGUUUUAUUAUACAUGUUGGACUUGGACUUAACUUAGGAAAAAACUAUAGGUUCUACACUGUCAUUUUCACUAACAGAUUUAGCUUUAGGAGCUGUAGUUAGUUUGUAUCGCCACAGUUGUACGCGGUGGAUAUACAUAAUAGUGUAGAAUGAAAUUACGCUCGUGUUCGGAUGCUGAGUUUAUUUUUACAGUAGUGUAUAGACUGUUCUGGACUAUCGGGUGCGGUCGCGGUUGACGGUGGAUCCAGAUUUCUGUAUUUUUUAUUAGAUUGUGCCGAGGGCAUGUGAGUUGCGGUUGUUAGACCAGUUAAACUCUUCUGCUUUGACUAUAGCCUGUGAGAGUCUGAUUGAGUUCGGCAGAGAUACGCUUGCAUACUCGGUUGGGUAGCGCCUACGAGUGCCAUUCAGCAGUCGGGUUUUGUGCUUUUGCAUUGUUGUCGUUGUGUCCUGGUUAGACUCACUCUCCACUGACAAUCUAGCGUGAUGGUAGUUAGUGUAGUUUCGACAGGCGGGACGGGUAUGUUCAAACUCCCUAGUGAGAUUGGGUCAGAGAUUGCAUAUUUUUCUACAGAUAGUUAGUGUUGGAUCGUGAUAGUAUAGGGGCAUAUAGCUGUAGAGUUUUUCAGUUUUCUUUACUAUCCUUGAGCAUACUUAUGUAGACUUAGUGAGUGAGCCGUUGAGGUCGGUAGCGGUAUCCACUGAGGACUACUUUUUUUUGCAGUAGUUCUCACACCCAGUUGUUGACCCCUUUUUGCAGAGCUUUUUUCUUCGGCUGCUGCUGUUGCUGACUCCGAUUGUGGAAAGGGAGUCGCGAGUUAGAUCCCUUCCAGUUUUGUUACUGCUUUAGAGGAGUACCAGCUUCAGGUAGUUUUGGGUUUUUGGGUUAUGUACAAACUGAUGUUUGAUUCUCGCUGGAGCGAGUGAUGUUGUAUCUGGAGACUAUGUAUGUAUAGUAAACCCGAUGUUUAUUUAUAUAUGUUUACCGUUCUGUUAGCAGCUCUAUACUACUGGUUAUAGUUUUGUAUGAUUACAGGUACAAGUACAGCUAUCGUUUCGUAUACAGGAAAAAUUUUUUUGUAUACGGCAGAUUUGUCGGCGUGCCCGACAAAACGAGUAAUCCGGGGCGUGACAAGUAAUACGUACUAUAUAUUUUUAUUUAUAUAUGUGUAUAAUUGCAUAUAAUAAUAUUAUUUUUAACAUAUCCUUAUAUAGAAACUAAAUAUUUAGUUAUAUUUAUAACAUACCGUCAUAUAUAUUAAUAUAUAUAUCUUUAAUAAUACUAUAUAUAUACUAUGUGUAUUAUUUAGUUCUUAUAUGGACGAAUAUAUUAUAUAUUUAAAACGUAUCGGGCAUUGGGGUCAAGGCCGGGCUCGGGCCAGGCUUGGACAUGUCUAGAUUAGCCCAAAAUUUUUAGGACUGAAAUUUUUAAGUCUGGCCCAGACCCAAAGUUAUAAUUUUGAUAUCCAAAACCCGGCCCAUAUAUGGGCUAUCGAGCCGGGCCUUUUUUAAGCCCGGCCCUGUUCCACCCCUAAAUACAACCCUUUGAACCGAAUAGGUCAAAAAAAACCUCUUUAAACUGCUCGAAUCAAUAGUUCAAGCAUCAGACUGAUAAACUAGUCUUGAUUUAAUCAAGUCGGCUGAAUUCUUUUAUCAAUUUAUAUUAAAAUCUAAUGGCUUAAAAUCAAUUUAGUUUAUUUUAUAUAAAUUAAAUUAAGUUUAAAUAAAAGUUAAGUUAAAAUAAAUUUUGAUCUCUAUUUUAAAUUUAGAUGGUUAUUAGCGGCAGAGUUUAUUUUUACUUAAUUUAUGUUUUAAGUUUGACUUGUUCCUAACUACGUUUUCAAUUCAAUUACCAAUGAAUAUUUUUAUAUGUGCAAGGUUUUUUUUUUAGUGUUUACCCAAAAUUUUAAAAUCUAAAUAAAUUUUAAAUUUUAAAUUAAAGUUUAAAUUUAGACUUAAAUUUAGUAAUCAAACAAAAUUUGAAUUUAGUUUUGAAUCUAUUAUUUAAAUUUAAAUAAUUAUUGAUUUAAUAGUUAUUUUUAAACCACUCUAUUUUUCAAACAUAUUUUUUUUAGUUAAUUAAUUAUUUAAAUUUCUUUUUUAUGAUGUGUACGAAAUAUUCUUUUCUUGCAUCUAGAAUUUCGAUUUUCAGUUAAAAAUUUUCUAUCACUUUUAUAUAUAGUAUAUAUAAUAAAAUAAAAAAUAAUUAAAUAUUUAUGACGUCCUGUCUUUGUUAGUUAAUUCGCAAAUUAUUAAUAAGUUCGUGAAUAACGAAUUAAACAGCCUGUGUACAUACUGUUUCCCAAAAUUUUGGAAUAAUUUGCAUUUUUUAGGUUUAAAAUAAAUAUUCGCGAAUUAUACUCGAUCAUCCAAUUUUUCACCCAAAAAAACGAGGGCUCCUCUUCACAGGUGGGCCACGCGGCACACUAGCUCAAAGCCUCAAAAUGAAAAAAAAAAAAAAAAGAAAAGAAAAUUGCUCAGAAGCGUUCGCCAUCGGAACCCUCCGUGAGGACGAGAAGCCGAGCAUCCGAAGUUGGGAACCACCCCGGCCGUGCAUCGCUUGCCACCAGAACCCCCGCGAGGCCGAGCACUGCUUACCAUCAGAAUUUUGGAACCACCCCGGCCGCAUGCUGCUAAUAGCAGAAAUCUAGAGAAAAAAAAAAAAAAUUUAAUAGCAAAAUUUUUUUAUCCUAAAUAUUUAAUUGGUGAAUAUAUAAUAUCCGUAUAAAUUACAUAUCCGAAUAAUUGGUGAAUUCAUUUUUCAGCCGUAUUUUUUAACGAAUUUAAAAAUUAGAAUACGAAUUUUAUUCGUUUUAUACCCGUAUCGAAUUUUUACUGAAUCUGAAUUAACUAUGCGUCAUGGACAGUGUCAA
rnacentral:lncRNA from 1 species